rnacentral:lncRNA from 1 species
CCUCUUUACAAUAUGCAUCCACCAGAAUAUUGAAGGUUUGAACAUUCGGCAUGACUUUGCUUUGCACCAUAUGACUCAGCAGUCUUUGGGACUCUUUCAAUUGGCCGGAAUUGCACACUCCUUGAAUGACAGAGGUAUAAGUAACGACGUUCGGUUCAAUUCCUGCCUCCAUCAUCUUCUCCAUCAAGACCGUAGCAUCUUUCCAUCGGCCUAGGUUGCAUAAGCAAUGAACCAAGGAGGUAUAAGUGAAUAUAUCGGGUCGGAUGCCUCUGCUCGUCAUCUCUUUCAACAAUAAGAGAGCAUCUUCCAUCUGGCCUACAUUGCACAGACCGUGGAUCAAGGAGGUAUAAGUAACAACAUCUGGUUCGAAACCUUUCUUACUCAUGCGUUCGUGAAGUCUCAAGGCCUCUGCGAUCAAUCCCUCCUUGCAAAGACUAUCUAUUACUAUGUUGUAUGCGAAGGAACCGAGCCUGCAGCUUCCCUCCUCCCAGUCCCUCAGCAAUUCAACGGCCAAUCUGGUGUUACCCGCCCUGCAUAACCCUUUCGCAAUUAUUGCAUACGUGGUCUCAUUAGGUUCUGGGCCUUUUCGUUGCAUAUCAUCGAGGAAACUCAACGCUCGAUCAGUUUCGCCCUUUAUAAGGAAACCAUCAAUUAGGGUGUUCGAUGCCACCACAUCGAUGUGAAACCCAAGCUUCAAGAUUCUGCCCAGGAUAGACAAACCAAAGUCAACCCGCUCUAACCGGCAGAAGCAAUUCAACGAAAUAUUCAGCCAAAAGUGAUUGUCUUCAAUCCCCAACGAAUGCAGCUGCUGGAUCAAGCGGAUGGCAAUCGAGUAGUGCUUCAUCCUCGCUAUAGCACCCAACAGAAGACUGAAAUCUCUGGGGGAAGGCAAAGGGUCGGUGUUGAUCAUUUUACCGAAGCAACGCAGGGCAUCGUCGACACUCGAAAACCCACCGCCACCAGCUCUGCAAAAUUUCCUCACGUAACUCAAGAGCUGGCUCGGGUCGUCUAAAUUAGGGUUAGGGAUCGAAGAAAACCUCCGGCGAUCGCGAAACGAGAAACGGGCACGCGAGAGAUGAGGGAGGGAGAUGGAGAGUGGAAUGGGAUGAUGAAUCGCUGGAGAUCGCAUCUUGAGCACGAAGGAGAAGAAAGACGGGAGCCCCAUGAACACACAAACCUAACCAAGGCGACUCCUAUCAGCUUACGGGUGCUUGAAAGACUCCUUUUCGAUUUCCUUUAAAACGAGUGAGUGAUAAGAAAAACAAAAUAAAUGCAUUAGAAGUUUUAAAAUUUAUCAUAAAAAUGUAAUUAAGUUUUAAAAUUUUUAAAAAGUAUAAUUAAAUCCUAAAGUUUAUUAAAAAAUAUAAUUAAGUCCUAAAAAUUUUAUAAAAUACAAUCAACUCCUAAAACUUAUCAAGGUGAUUCAAUUUAAGUCUUUUCAUUGAUUACUUUUUUUGAAAGUUUUGAGACUCGGUUACAUGUUCGAGACAAAUUUUAGGAUUUUAUUGAACUUUUUGAAAAUUUUAAGAUUUAAUUGAAUUUCCGUGACAAGUUUUAGGAUUUAAUUGUACUUUUUAAAAGUUUUAAGACCCAAUUACAUUUUCAUAAUAAGUUUUAAGACUUCUAAUAUACUUAUCCCUAAGAAAAACUAAGGUAGAAUCAUUUUAGUGAAAUUCAAAUUAUUACACACUUGUUUAAACAAAAAAUCUAUGCAUAAAUUGAUGAAAAAUAUUUCGCCCUUUAGAACAUCGAAAAUUAUUUUCCAAAGGAGUUACUAGACAUCUGCAUUUUGGAACAAAAACUCUACUUGUGCAUGAGAGAUCUAAGACUCAUUUCUAAAACCCUUGUUCAUGUGCUUAAUUUCUCAAAAGUCCAUACGCAAGUCAUUGGCACCCGAAUAGUGUAAAUGUAAUUAGGAAAAUCAAAUUAGAUCUUACUUUUCAAAUGACAAAAAAUAUGUUUCGAUUUUGUUUUUUCAAAUUCCACCCAAACUUAGAAAAUCGACUUCCUUGAAAUUAGAAAUGUAACAUUUUGCAUUAAACAAAUAGAGUAUUUGAGAAAAAUCUUAGUAAAUUGAUGACCAGAUUCUAUAGGUAGACUCGAGAACUUUUCAAUAAACAAAGAGGGUGGACAACCAUUGCAAUUACUUUUUAAUAUCUUUCAACUUAGAUCUUUUUUUUACCCCUAAAAAUUGAGCUAGGACACUUGUGGGUUCUAGGCCAACGAGUGGUUCGACCAACUUGGAGAAAGAGACAACUUUGAUGGUAAUGUCGUAUUCCUCAUCUCCACCAAAAAUGAAUGUUAAGGUGAUCAGGCUCCAAAAGUGUGCCAUCGCUUGUAUGAGACUCGCUUGACACUUAACCCGAAGAAGAGAUAUGAGGUAACCAAUACUUUUUUCCACAGCGUUGGUCUCCUUGGUCUAUAAUUUAUCCAUCAUGCCAAGAGGGUCCUUGGGAGCGAGAAUGAUUUAACUAUUCAAUCUUCCUAUUAUAUCUAAAUCACAAAAGACAUUUUACCCGAUCACCGUGGAUUACAAAUAUAAACUUUGAAAACUUAAGUUGAUGAAGUAGAAGAAUUUUAAAAAAGUAUGUAACAUACUUAUAGCGUCCGAUGAGAAGGGUUUUCAAUCAUAUAAGUACAUAGAUAUACUUGUGAGAUUCGACGCAUAAAGUUGGGAUAUACUAUAGAUUCAAGAAUCCCUUCCUAACGAAACACUAAAUAUAUCCUAAUCUCGCUAAUUGGAUGGGUUCAACUUUUCUCUUGUGAGAUGAGCAGGGUCAAGAAGGAUUUGAUUAUGCUAGUUAUCUAACUAGUACAUUUCAUUACCUACACUUGAUUAUUUGUCAAUUGAAGUGUCAACACGACCUUUCACCAAAAUAUGAAUUCUUAGGUUCUUAACCGUUAAAAGCACGAAUGAUAACAAUUAUGUUUUAGAAAUCAAUUUUUGUUCCACAAAUAGAUUUCUCUAAUUUUAUUUUUGGGACGAUUGUCUGAGUAAAAAUAGCGUUUGAUGACAACAUAAAAUUUCUAUUUCAAGAAUAUAAAUUCUUUUACUAAUGAUACAAAAUUUCUCCUUCUUGAGUUGCGGCGAUGGCAUCGACCAAUGGACGACUAGUGGCAAUGGCAGCAACCAAUGGAUGACUGGCAGUGGUGGUGAUUGGCAAACAACAAUGGUGGAUGGCAGGCGACAGCAAGUGGGCAGCCGACUAGUAGCGAGGGUGAGCGAGAAAAAGAGUUUUUAUUUAUUAUUUUUAUUACAAAAUAAAAAAGUAGAAAAUUUUAACUUCUCAUUAAUAUUCCAAGCCCAUUUCUAGACUAAAAAUUUGUUCUAAAAAUAGAAAAAAUAAAAUUGCAUUACAAAUGGAUUUCUAUUCUACACCUAUUCUUGGGAGUAGAAAAAUAGUUUUAGCUAGAAAUAAAAUGUUUAUCACGUGCGUCUAAGUGUCAAUGUAAUGUUUUUGUAUUUAUUUAUAAUCCCAAAGUGUAACCUAAACAUUCAACGAAAACAAACAAAUCAAAACUUAGAAAAAGCAACAUAGAAGGGACACAAUCAAUUGAUUUAAAAAAGUAAUGAAAGAACAAGUAAAAAGUAAAGUGCAAUAAAGUAAUCCAAUACAAGUUAGGCAAACAAUAUAACAUGGCCUUGUAACUUUCACCAAAUUAUUUAUUACAAUUUUUUAUUUUACUACCCUUUUUAUAUUUUUUUUUGUUCUAAUUUUUUUUUAUUAUUAUUUUUUUAUUCUAAUAAAAGGGGCACCGAGCUGCUCAAUCCGGACAUGGGCCAUACGUGGCCUCGCCAAUCUAGGCCGGAAACACCAAGGAGUUCAAUCCAGAUGUGGGUCUUACUAUGGCCUCGUGGACCUAGGUCGACAACAUCAAUGAGCCCUUAUAACAAAAAUUGGAAUCGGCUCAAAGUCACCUAAACUAAGCCUAGCCCAAACUUUCUAAAACCCAAAACACCCUAAUAUAUUAAAACUAAAUCAAGCCAAUUUUAAGCUCAUUUUAUUAUUUUCUUUUUUUCCCAAUAUUUUUUCGUCUUUUCUUUAUUCAUUAUUUUUGCUUUUCAUUUCUAUUCAUCCCUCUCAGUAUCUCCUUCGAUCUGCAAACCAAGAUCACAUAACCAAAUAUAGAAGUUCCAGCAAAUUGAAAGUCUUCAAUGGAGGUUAACUAAAUUUAUACUGCUUCCCCGGCAGUCUUCACCGGUGACCACCUCCAUUGGCCGCCAGACCACCACUAUCAGCCACAAUCAAAGAGUUGCAGAAAUUUAGAGUGUGGAUAGGAAAAAACAAAUUGAGAUGGAUGCUUCUGGAGAUCCACGCUUAAGCCAUCAACUCCCAAUCAUUUCUCUAGCAACUUAUGUCAGCCAACAUCAGGAGUUUAAUGCAGAAAACAGAGCAACACAACAAACGGCGAUGUUAUUCUCAAUUUCAUGUUCAAGUUUCGCAAAACAACAAUGAUAUAUAUGAAUCUAAAAUUUCUAUUGAUAUAUAAGCAUUAGUGAACCUUUCAGUCAACAGAUAUAAUCAACUCUCUCUCUCUCGAAUACAUUUUGCGGCUUCAUGGACACAUUUCAACAAAAAACUUUCAUGCAACGAAAUUACUAAGUCUAAUCAUGGCAUUGAAAUGGUUUCUCAUCUAAAAUCAGCAUUAGAACAACAACGCCUUCACACAUCGUUAAAAGAAGUCUCAGAUUAAUUCAAAUUCUUGAUGAUUUAUAUUCAAACAACAUGAAUACAUCUCAAUUUUGUGAAUCACUGAAACAGAGCAAUGAAAUUACCUGUUCACGAAACAAUAUGAAGCUACGAUUUCUGACUGAAUCAAGGAAGAAAACUAGAGAAAGUGGCACCAGCAUAAAGGCUUUAGGUAAAAUCCGAACUUUCCAGCAUCUCUAACCGGAGCAGAGCAAAGCAGGAUCAAUGGUAAUCAACUAUUGGCAUUGAUCAAUGGCAAUGAAUCGAAAGUAAAUGAUGCCAAAGGUCUAAAUUCAGCUCUCUCAGAUAGGUCACCACACAUACGACUUCAGAUCCUCCAUGAGCAUGUGUCCUGCGAUUGACCGCACAAGCAAGUGAUGGGUUGUGGCUAGAACAAAACACAAAUCAAAAUCACGACUGCACACUUCCAGAGCCCUGAUUAAAUAACCAGAUAUUCAAGCUCCGUCCAUAAGUAGAUAUAUACCGGUUUUUAUCUAUGUACGCCACCUUUUGGCUAUAUAUUAAGUAACCAGAUAUGGUUUUUUUUUUUUUUUUUUUCCAAUUUUCAAGGAAUACCUUGAUGCAUUGAAGAUAAGAAAAUUUCUUGUGAGCAUGUUUGCCAAGUAUUCAUCGAGAUAGUCAAUAACAUGAUCCUACGAAUAAAUCUUUUGACUAUUUCUUUAGAUAUCUCAUCUAUUUCGUGAGCUCCAGCAAGGGAUAUCAUGUUAUGCAUGUGAAUAUAACGGUUUACUUAAAUUUGUGAGUACUAGUCAAGCUAAGAUUGAAUAGGUCAAAUGUUAUCCAAUAGAGGAUGUAAAAAGAAUAAACAAGGAUUUAAAGAAUAAGCAAAGGAAUCAAGAAUCUUCUUGAUUAAAUUGUCUAGAAUUGUUGUAGUCAAUGAAUGAUAACUCUAGAGAAAUAGACGGGCCUUAAAUGAGAGUAUAAGAUGAAAAAAGACAAGAGCAACAUCAUCGACAUACAUUGAAUAUUGAGAGACAAUUAAAACCCUUAAUAAUUCCAAAAAAAGAAAAAUCAGGAUUACCAAUGAUUCGUGAAAGAGAGUGACAAAUUUGUGUAUGCUUAAAUCAUACAAUUGUGAGCAACUGUUGCCCAAGUACUAAAAACGGCACGUUAGACAAAAAAAAAGGACAAAUGCAAACUAAAGAAAUAUUUUGAAUUACUUAAACAGAUCAAAUUGCAUAUCUAGCCCACAGCAAAUAUAAAAUUGCAUUGUUUCCAUUCUAUAAACAAAUAGUUAGAAGCUUUUAAGAUUUUUUAUGCAUUGGUACCAUGGAAGAAAGGUUGAUAUGCUAAUCAUAGGAGAAAAUCUAUUGGGUACAACUGCUAUAAAUAGUCAGGACCUGAGUCUAUCAAGAUACAAAGUUGGGUUGAGUAAAAAAAUUAAGGCAUAUCACAUUAUGAAAAGUCCUUCAAGAGUUGCAAUUAUGCUAAUGUUGUCCCCCUUGAUGUUCAAUGUUGCCAAAGGUGCCACACACACCGGCAUAGUUUAUUGGGCUUGCAAUACCGGCUCCUAUUCGAGCGGUGAUCCUUAUGCAAACAGCUUGGCUUAUCUCCUUGAGCACAUGGUGACCGUGACAUCAAAUCACGCGAACUACAACUACUCCACCGCAUCUCCUUAUCCGACAGCAAUUGCCUAUGGUCACGUUAUUUGUAGCCAAGCACUUUCUUACAGUGAUUGUGGCAUAUGUAUGAGCUUUGUUAAAUCCCAAAUAUUGGCCAUCUGUCCGGACAGUCUGGGCGCUCAAGUCAAGCUUGAAGAUUGUAGAACGAGGUACAAAAACUACUCAUUUAGUGGUUAAGUGGUUUGGUGCCAAACAUGGAGAACCUUGUUCGAACGGUAACGGCACUGGGAUGUGCAUUGCUUAAAUGUGUUGAAGAAUAAAUGCCCUAGUCAUAUAUCCUAAUUUAUGUUGUGUGUGGAUGUUUCUGCCGUUCUUGUUGUCAUUUUUAUUGUGGGAAAUGAUAUGAUAUGUGGCUCCUAUACUUUUUUGUUAUUUUAAAGUUCUCAAAUUGCCUUUUUAUGCCCGAGAAAACCUAAGAAAGCAGCUCAAAGCAAUGAUUCACACGAAAAAUCAAACCUGUAUUGUCUAUCUAAGCUACACGCACGUCAUUGGGUUUGUUCCUAUGGUACUUAAGCAGGUCUUCAAGAGAUGGCAGUUGGGGACACGCAAAUAAGAGGUCGUGCAAGAGAGUUCAAAACCAAAAGCCGGAAUUUAUAGAAGGAAACGCUGCCUAAAGGCUAAAAGAAAUUGUUACAACCUUGCUAGAGCCGCUUGUGAAUUUAACUUAUACGUUGAACUUGAAGCACAACUCUCUGUUGAAAUUCGGAAAGAAAUAACAUUGACUUUGUCCCUAGUAUUUGCAUAAGGAUCACUACUUGAAAAUCAUUCAGGAGGUUGAGAACAUAUUUACAGCAUACAAGAUAAAUACCACGAGAGGGUUCAUUCAUUUUGUUUUCAAGAAAAUAUUUUGAAGAAGCCAAAUCAGCAAAACAGAAACUAUGUCAAAUCAGUUACUGGUCAUACCAUAUAAGAGUCAUCAGCAUAAACCAAAAGUAAUACAGAGGAAGAGCUAAUGCAUGAAACAAUUAAAUGGACUUAUCAGCAUAAGAUUGAACCAAACCAGCAUAUACUAUCGCAGUAGGGGAUACUUAAGAAACCAAUUUUCUCUGAAGAUUUUACCUUUCAUCGUAAAAGUGGCCUCGCUUCAGUUGAUAAGCCCAUGAACCUGCGUUGUUAAAUCAGGAAACGGACAAAAGAGACAGCCAAGGAGUUGAUCCUCUUGUGAUAUAUGCACAACUUCAAUUUGAACCUUUUGCUUGACAAAUUCUCUUUUCUGAGCUCAAUUGAUCAUAUCUGACGACGGUAUCCAUGCGUGAACUUAAAUCAAAGACUCAUCUCCGGAACUCUUGCACGCUACUAUGAUUGGGUCAGCAAACAAAGAGUAGAGGGCACGACGAGAGGCAGACUGUCCAGGCAAAUCUUCCUGUUGUGAGUGAGACUCUUAAAAACCCCGAGUCAGUAAUUAAGACAGAUAAAAAUGGCAAGGAAUGUACUUCCAUUGAGAGCCAACCCUAUUGAUCGGGAAAGUAAUUCAAUUGAUGCAGUGGAAAAGACGAUGGAAUUUACAUCAUCUGGGCCUGACUGCAAUGGAGUUGAUUGUUGUUCGCCCAAGACGGCUAACAUUGGGAAUGUUUGUCAACGGCAUUCAUGUUCACCCAUCAUCAGAUGCUUUUCGGAAAAUCCCUGGCAGUGCAAAAGGGAAGAUACUUCAAGUAGUUUCAUACAUUUGCAGCCACGUUCCUUAGUCAGCAAGCCGUCCCUCAAACCUCGCUGUUAUUUGCAUGUAAGAAGCAGAGCAAAUAAACCAAAUAUGUAAUCGACCUGUGGUAAUAAUCUGAGUACACAGCUCGAUCCAAAUAUACUCCACUACCGAUUCAAAUACCAUCCACUUCAAUGUAUGCCUCUUCUUUGAAGUGUCUAUGGUAAAUAGGACAUUAAAAGGAUCAGAUUGUCAAAAAAGAAAGUGUAUAACAGAAAACUAGGAUCUCUCUCUCAAAGCACAUACACAAUAGGCUAAUCAGGAUUUAUGACAUAAUAUACUUCAUUACAUAGUAAAGUUAUUGCUAUUAACAUCUAUUUAAUACGAUAUCAUCCUCAGACUGCUUGAUCAUUCGUAUGAAUUUCACCUGUUUGAACAACAUUAGGCACCAAAAGCACUAACAAAUGAGUACACAUAACAGUUCAAUACAGAGAUUUCGUACCGAACCUAGAUAUACGAGGAUCAAAAUCCACCUUAUACCCCUCCAAAAAUUUGCCGUCUUGGGCGGUUCGAUUCAGUGAAUAAUCUCUCCGAUUUAAAAAAACUUCAUCAAUGGGACAUGGGACACAAAGAGAAGACGUUUGGAAGAAAACUUGACAUAUAUCUGAUUUACUCUUCAUCACAUUUCAGAUGAAAAUGUGGACAGAUCUCAGAGACAAUGGAGAGUUCUCCUAGUAAAGGAAGAAGUUCCAUUUGUCACGAGAUAUUUGACCCACAAUUCCAUUGUCGCUACAUCUGCAGAAAAACCCCUUUCAACCAUUUCACCGACAAGUUGCGUGGCUCUAGUAUUUUCAUUAUUUCUUAGCAAUCCUUGGAUUAUUGUGUUAUAAGUGACCCCAUCUGGAAAGCAUCCAUUUCCUUCCAUCUCCUUUAGAAGCUGAUAUGCUUCCUCCGUACAUCCUCCUUUGCACAACCCAUGCAUGAGAAUGUUACAUGUCCACACAUCAGGUUGCAAGCCUCGAGCAUGCAAACAAUUAACCAGCCCCUUUGCAUCGUCGAGCUUUCCGGCAUUACACAUGCCAUUUAUUAGGAUAUUGUAAGUCACGAUGUUUGGGAUGAAUUUGGAAUCUUCCAUCUUUCGAAGCAAUAUCAUGGCCUUGUCAAUCUGCUGUGUUUUACACAAGCCAUCCAGGAAAGCAUUCAAGGUAUAAUGAUCUAGAAAGAGAUUGCGAGAUUGCAUCUCAUUAAUUAGCUCCACCGCAGCUUCAAGGUUCCCAACCUGGCAAAAUCCAUAUACUAGAGUGCUGUAUGUGAUGACGUUAGGAUUCAGGCCCCUUUCAAGCAUUUCUUGGAACAGUAUUUUUGAUUUGUCAACUCUUUUCCCUUUGCAGUAUCCAUUAAUCAAUGUGUUAUAAGAAAUGACAUUAGGUGAGCAGCCUCUUUCAACCAUCAAAUUAAGAACCGCCAUAGCAUCAUCCAUCCUAUUUUGGAAACAAUAACCAUUCAACAAGGCAUUAUAAGUGACACUAUCAGGCAUUUUACCUAAUUGAAUCAUCUGGUCGACUAAGGCCUCGGCCUCUACAAGCAUUCCCUCUUUGCAAUAUGCAUCCACCAGGACAGUGAAGGUUCGAACAUUCGGCAUUACUCUGCUUUGCACCAUAUGACUCUGCAGUCUUCGAGCCUCUGUCAAUUGGCCAGAAUUGCACACUCCUUGAAUGACCGAGGUAUAAGUAACGACGUCUGGUUCAAUUCCUGCCUUCGUCAUCUUCUCCAACAAGACCGUAGCAUCUUUCCAUUGGCCUAGGUUGCAUAAGCAAUGAACCAAGGAGUUAUAAGUGGCUAAAUCGGGUUGGAUUGCUCUGCUUGUCAUCUCUUUCAACAAUGUGAGAGCAUCUUCCAGCUGGCCUACAUUGCACAGACCAUGAAUCAAGGAGUUGUAAGUAACAACAUCUGGUUUGAUCACUUUCCUACUCAUACUUUCAUGGAGUCUCAACGCUUCUGCAAUCAAUCCCUCCUUGCAAAGACUAUCAAUCACUAUGUUGUAUGUGAAGGAACCAAGCCUGCAGCUUCUCUCUUCCCAGUCCCUCAGCAAUUCGAUCGCAAAUUUGGUGUUACCCGCCCUGCAUAACCCCUUCACAACUAUCGCAUACGUGGUCUCAUUAGGUUCGGGGCCGUUUCGUUGCAUAUCAUCGAGGAACCUCAAGGCUUGAUCAGUUUUGCCCUGAAUAAAGAGACCAUCAAUUAGGGUGUUCGAUGCCACCACAUCAAUGUGAAACCCAAGCUUGAAGAUUCUGCCCAGGAUAGACAAACCCAAAUCAACCCGCUUUAACCGGCAGAAGCAAUUCAUCCAAAUGGUCAGCAAGGCAACAUCACCCUCGAUCCCCAAAGAAGGCAGCCGCUCAAUCAACCGGAUCACAGUCGAGUAGUGCUUCAUCCUCACUAUAGCACCCAACAGUAGACUGAAAUCCCCGGAGGAAGGCAAAGGGCUCGCCUUUAUCAUUUUACCGAAGCAACACAGGGCAUCACCCACACUCGUAAACCCACCGCCGCCACCACCACCAGCUCUGCAAUUUCUCCUCACGUAACUCAAGACAUGGUUGGGGUCGUCUAAAUUAGGGUUAGGGGUCGAGGAAAACCUCCGACGACGGUGAGACGAGAAAGGGAGAUGAGAAGGAUAAGGGAGAUAAGGGUGACAGAGAACGGAAAGGGAUGAUGACUCGCCAAAGAUCGCAGCUGGAGCGGGAAGAAGGAGGAAGAUGGAAGAAGCAAGGCAGAGAUUCGUCGGCUUCAUCAGUAGAAGUGAAAAGCUUUAAGCUUAUGGCGCUUCCUCUCGCUCCCUUUCUCAAGCUUCUAUAUAGUCAUCUUGACGGUCGCCAAUUAGAUCCCAAUCCCAAACAUAACAGUGAUACAUUAGCUUAAAAUAUUAAGGGUUAGGAAUUUAGGGAAAUUGCAUUGGUAUCCAUUUUCUUAAAAUAUUAAACUUCAGGAAUUUACACAUGGGGACCUAAUUUGCUUCUUAUCUACAAAAAGCACCCGAAAUAUUAUUCACUUAUAAAAAUCUUUAAAAUUAAGGAUGAUAUAUGAUUCAUUCAUAUUUCUAAAUUCAAUAUUUUCUUUAUUCUUAAAUUUUGAAGAGAAAGUCUAUAUACUAUAUUCACAUCACCAAUAUUUUUUUAUUUUUUUUGAGCAAACACAUCACCAAUAUAGAGGAUUGGUUUUGGAGUGGAUGGUUUCCAUCAUGGAAGGGAUUGAGAACUGUCCACUAAGGGUCGAUUCCGAAAAAUUGAAAUCAAGAAAUGCCCGUUGGUUCCCAAUUGCUCGUGUGCAAGUCAUUAACACCUAAAAAGUGUGUGUAAUUAGGAAAAUCAAAUCAAAUUUUACUUUUCGAAUGAAGAACUACGGUUUCUAGUUCUUUUUUCAUAUUUUAGCUAAGCUUCGGAAAAUAUAACCAUUUUCUUAGACUUCUUGAAUAUUUUUUGAAAUGUAACAUUUUUCGUUAAAUAAAUGGAGUUUAAGGGAAAAAUCCUAACAAGUUAUGACUAGAUUCUAUAGGUAGACUCAUGAACUUUUCAAUUAAGAAAGAGGGCGAGACAACCAUUGGAUUAACUUUUUAAAAUUUUUUAGUUUCUAAUCCUUUUCCUUGGAUCGGCCCUAGAUCGGCCCAUUCCUGUUAGUCCUGGUUCGGUUCCCAAGGAGACUAGGUCGGUCCUUGAUCUUAGAAUUCCUAGACCAAUACUAUGCGGGUCGGUCAUCGGUCCUAAAAGUUUCGGGUUGGUCCAACCCGGACCAACCCUGACUAGAUAUAUAUAUUAUUUAUAAUUUUUUUAUAUAGAGAAAAAUUUAAAAUAAAUAACGUUAACAACAUUAAAUAACUCUUUAAUGAGGAAUUCAAGUAAUUUUAUAUUAUUGUUUAAUAACUUAGAUUUUUAAUAUAUUUUACUAUGUCAAUAGUCAUAAUUUACGAAGAAGGAAAAUGUUUUUGUAAGGAGUCCUCACGGCGUUCAAAAAAGCAUAAACAACUCUUUAUGGCAUCCUCUUUAAUAUCUUAUUUGUCUUCUUAGUAUUCAAUUUGCCAAAAUCGAAAGAAACAAUUUUUCCGCUCGCCACUCGACACUUGCCUCGCUCGCUUUAGGUCAUUCGUGCAACUCACCGUUCGAUGCUCACUUGGCUUGUUGCUACAUGCUCGACAUUCGAUGCUCAUUCUAUUCGAUGCUCACCUCACUUGACCCUCACCGCUUGCCUUUCUUAACUAACCUCGCUCAUCAUCGAAUCCAUUUGGUGGGUAUGGUCCUCGGUUGCCCUUUCAAAUAGUACAAAAAAUGAAAUAAAAAAUUAUUGAUUGGUUCUGGAUUGACUUGGAAAUCAGAUCGAACUAAUUGGGUUAGUCCGGUCCUCAAUCGUUUUUUUAAGAAGUACAAAAAAAAAAAUGAAAUAAAAAAUUAUGGGUUGAUCUCGGGUUGACCCUUGAACUGGACCGAACCCAUUGGGUCGAUUCAGUCCUUAGUCCCAAUAAUUGAGGAUCAGCACUGUGUGGGUUGGUCCUAGGGUUAGGGGGUGGAUUGGCCCAACUAGGAACAUGCUCACCCUACCUUUUCCCCUCUAAAAGUUGAGCUAAGAACGCUUGCUGGCUCUAGGGUUGUUUGACCAACUUAGAGAAAGAGACCACUUUGACAGCCAGACCAUAAUCCUCAAUUGUCGCAACUAAUUCGUGUUUGCCAAAAAUGAAUAUUAAGAUGAUUGGAUUCCAAAAGUACGCCAUCACUUGCAUGAGACUCACUUGAUACUUGACACAAAGAAGAGAUAUAAGGUAAUCAAUCUUUUUUUCCACAUAGCUUUGACCUCUUCGAUCUAAUUUAUCCAUAAUGCCAAAGCAGGAAUGAUUUAAAUAUCUAAUAUUCCCAUUAUAUCCAAAUCACAAAGACGUUUUAAUUUGUCACCAUGGAUUCCAAAUAUGAACAUUGAAAACAUAAGUGAAUGAAGUAGAAGAAAUUAAGAAAGUAUGGAAUAUACUUUCAAUAACCACUAAGAAGGGUUUUAAAUCACACAUACACACAGAUAUACUUAUGAAGUUUGACACAUAAAGGUGGCAUAUACUAUUGGCUCGGGAUCUUAUCCAAUGAAAUAGUAAGUCUUUCUCCAUGUCGCUAAUUGUGGAUGGGUCUGACUUUUUUUUUUUUUUUGCGUGAUGACGAGAAUAAUUGUCCCAUCGUCGCUAGCUACGGGUGGUCCAACCUAUUCUCAACACCAUCUUAGGUAGUUUUCUAAGGAUGUAGCCUGAGUUUAGGCUAUGGGUUGUGUGUACAAAAUGUUAAAGCAAAUAAAAGCAUUCAAGAUAGUAUAUAUCAAAACACUGAUUCAAUAUACAUCCACUUAAUCAUACAUUACUACUUCUCUCUACAAGACAAAUGUAUCAGCAAAUACAUCAUCCCUAACAACUCCCAGUCUGCAUCAACAUUUAAAACAUUAGCAAACUAUCUUCAUUUUCCAUGAGAAUUUGACACGUGCUGCCAUGAAAACCACUUUAGUUGACAAACAAUCAAGUCAUUUCUAGGCCUCAAUCCUCUAAGGUCUAGAACCAAGUCCUAGUCACCAAGUUGUGGUGACCCUCUCAAACAAGUGUCGGGGGAAGGCAUGUUUUGGGAUAGUUUCAUUUUAAUUCAAUAAACCCUAUGAAAGUUCUAUAUAAGGAGCCAACUAGGAACCAUUUUAUGAAACUAGAGAUCUAGAGUCAAUGACUUGAUUAUAUUAGAGAUCUAACUAGUACCAUUUUGGUACCUUAACUUGAUUAUUUGUCAGUUAAAGUGUCAACGUGGCCUUUUACCAAAUUAUGAAUCUUAAGGUUAUCAGUUUUUAAGUGUCCAUACAAUAUUUUUGCAUUUAUUAUGAUCCCAAAAUGUAACCUCAGCAUUCAACUAAAACAGGCAAGUUGAAACUUGGAAAAAACAACAUAGAAUGACCAAUAAGUUAAUCUAAGUGCAUUUGGUUUAGUAUUUUGAAAGCCCAUUAGGCAAAUGCAAAAUAAUUUAGCCUAAAAGGCAUUGGAUAGAUGCAAAGGCCGUUUGGUAAAUUACGCUUUUGAUAAGCAACUUUGAGAGAAAAUACCGAUCAAUAGACAACACAUUUGAAAAGUGCUUUGGUGAUUAAUAUUAGUUUUCUAUACCACCGCCUUGGUGACCGCGAUGGUUUGCGCUCUCUCCCCCUCACGGUUGCUUGGAGUCUUAAGUAGGACGCUGGGAGUGGUGGGUCGUCCCGCUUACGUGUCCCCCCAGGUUUACUUGCCGGCUGCCGGCUGUAUGAGAUUCCUGGGCCACCAAAAAAAAAAUAAUAAUUUUCUAUAUUUUUAUUUGUUUAAAUUUGAAAAAGAAUCAAAUAUAUAUAUAUAAUUGAAAUAAUAAAAGACCAAACCCUUCGCCGGUUCGGCGAAGGGCUACAGCUACCAGCGAGCUAGAUUUGGCGCUGGUGGCCAUCGAUCAAGGUUGCCCAAUGGCGAGGGUUGCCAAUUGGUCGUGCAACCCUGACGAGGCAACCUCUAGCGGCCCUUGCUGGGUUCACACAACCCUCGUUGGAGAUCGACCAACCUCGGGUGACCUUAAUCAAAAGUCGUCGACGCCAAAUCUAUCCCCCCAACAAUCGUAACCCUUCAUUGAACCAGCGAAGGGUUUGAUCCUUUUUUAAUAAAAAAAAUAAUUAGGGAUAAAAUUUGAAAUUUGAAGAGUUGGUGAGGGUAGUUUUGGAAGAAAAAUUGAGUUCAACAUUCGAUCAAAUGAUCAAAUGUUGAAAGCCCAAACUAGUCUCUACUAGCAUUAGACUUUUAGCCUUCCCAAUGCUAGCUUUCAAGAGAAAGUUCACUCAAAAUAAUUACCAAACGGUCUAGCAUUCUCCAAGGGGUUUUGGAUCGCAUAACCAAAUAUAGAAGUUUCAGAAAGUUGAAGGUCUUCAAUGGAGGUUAACUAAAUUUAUACUACUACACCAACAGUCUUAACCGGCAACCACCUCUAUUGGUCACCAGACCACCACUAUCAGCCACAAUCAAAGAGUUGUAGAAAUUUAGAGCGUGGAUAGAAAAAUACAAAUUGAGAUGAAUGCUUCUGUAAAUCCACGCUUAAGCCAUGAACUACUAGUCAUUUCUCCAGGAACUUAUGUUAGCUACCAUUAGGAGUUCAAUGCACAAAACAGAGCAACACAACAAAUAGUGAUGUUAUUCUUGAUUUCAUGUUCGAGUUUCGCAAAACAACAAUGACAUAUGUGAAUCUAAAAUUCAUAUUGAGAUUUAAGAGAUGAUGAACCUUUUCGUCAAUAGAUAUAAUUAACUCUUUCUCAAAUACAUUUCACAGCUUCAUAGACACAUUUCAACAAACCACUUGCAUGCAACGAAAUUACUAAGUCUAAUCAUGGCAUUGAAAUGGUUUCUUGUCCAAAAUUAGCAUUAGAACAACAAUGCCAUCACAAAUCAUUAAAAGAAGUCUCAAAUUAAUUCAAUUCUUGAUGAUUUACAUUUGAACAACAUGAAUAAAUCUAAAUUUUGUGAAUCAUUUAAACAGAGCAAUGAAAUUACGUGCUCACGAAACAAUAUGAAGCUACAAUAUUUGGCCGAAAUUUGAACUUUCCAGCUUGUCUAACCAAAAUAGAGCAAGGCAAAAUCAAUGGUGAAACAACUAUUGGCAAUAAUCAAUGGUAACAAAUCAAAAGUACAUAAUGCCGUAAAUCUAAGUUCAAAUACUUUGUUAUACUUGAUUAGUUCGUCCAUGAUGGGGUGUGAUUAAGACGCACUGGUUCGUCUUGAUAUGUUAUGAUAGAGAGACACCAUUUUGAAAUGGUAUGAAGAAAGUCAUAUAAAUAACUUUUGGAGAUAACCGUUGGUGUAGUUGUUAGAAAGAAUGUUUAGAAAAAAAGUUUUCUCUCUUCUUCUCCUCUCUCCAUCAAGGAACAAAAGGCAUUCCAUUAUUGCUUUGAGAAGACAAUCGGUAUUAACGCAGUGGAAAUUGAAUGUUUUCCUCGUGAUUGUAUUCAGAGCAUCAUGAAGUCUUAUCGUCCGUCGUUGGCUCAUGAUUCACAUUCAUUCCAAGGUAAAUUGUUCAUUGCACAUCGAAGAGGUAAGUCAUUUCUUCCACCAACUUUCCUCCUAUAUUAGUAUUAGAGCCUAUGGUAUGAUUCAUGCCUUGUUUUCCCAUCGAAUUUUCUUGUUUGCUAUUUGAUACGAGGAUCAAGAAGAUGAACUUCACAUCGUUUGGAUGUUUAUUGCUCGAAAAUUGUAACAUGAAUCAUCAAAAACAAACCAAAGUGAAAAACGGGUUUGGAGGUCGUGUACACCUGCACAAUUUUGGCCAUUUUUUGGAAUAUUUUCUUGAUUAAAUUCAAUUUUUGAAUAUACGAGGUAAAAGUACUCGUCGAGAUGAGUUGAAAGGUGGUCUAGCGCCACCAGAAGAUGCUGGAUGCGCCCAUACAUGCGUCGACGAAUCGGUACACGCUGACGUCAUCAAUGACAUUAGCCAAUGGUCGGUAAUCGACAUGUUGAUGUCAUCAAUGAUGUUACCCAACUGGCAACAGUCGGCCGAUCGGCGACUAACCGAUGAUCCAACCUGACUAGAGACCUAAACCGAUUGACUAGUCAAUUGGUCGAAUCAAUCAAAAUGGCCAGGAGCCUUGUUGGCUCGUUGGCAUGUGUGCCACACGUGCCGCGCACUCAGGAGGCACACGUCGACACAUAGGAGAUCCGAUUGGCGCGUGAUGGGUGGCGUUUGGUUCGUAUAGAUAUGCUUUACAUUUUGGUAUAGUUAUUCUACAUGUUUGAGGCUUUUAAAGAAAUAAAAAUUUGUACGAAAUCCUAAGUAUGUGUAUUUUUGAGGUAUAAGUGCAUUAUUUAUUUCUUUUAACCUGUAUUUUCUUAUGGUUUUAGAAAUAUAAAAGCUAGCCUACAUGAAAAUAACCAUAUAUAUGUUAUGAAAAGCUUAGUUCGAUAAUAGCACGUAUAAAAGCUUAGUCCUGAUUCGAAGCAAACUCGAACAAUGGUUGAAGAUCCUUGAUUUUUUUCAUUACGUGUUGAAUUCUGCCUUCGAUUAUAGUUGCUUCAUAAUUGUUUUUUUAUAUAUUGGUUUACAUCAUGCUAUGCCUUUUGAUAUUUAAUAGAAAAGUGUGAAAAUUACAUGGGAUCAUGUGAUUAUUUUUUUAUUAGUGGGAAUUUAUAGGUUGAUAGAAUUCGAAAGAGUUCUCACCUAAAGUGGGCAAAUUAAACUAGUUAAUGAUAGUAGAACAAUCGUACAUAAAAGUGAAUUAGGAAUACAGUGAACUUUCGUUUAUGUGUCUUUUGUUGAAUUAUCAUUAAUUUAAUUUUUCUUUAUUGCAAAUUAAAUAUUUGUGUUAUUAUGAAAAUACGCUAGUAUUGAUUUUGCGUUUAUUAUGUCAAUGCGUUGUGACGAUUAAUUAUGGCUUUGGCAUCUAAGAUCACUGUGAUUGAUCUCGAUAAGGGUGAAAAACUGAAUGGUGAUAAUUAUGAUAUUUCGCACCGAAAGAUUUAGUAUAUCUUUAUGUAGUAAGAUGUUUUAGAAACCCUUAGCCGUAACAUGGAUGAGCCUAAACAUGAAACUUUAGCUCAGCACGGGAGAGAUUAAGAAGCUUAUCAAUUUUGGAAAAAGAAAAAUAAUAUUUCUCACAUCACAUUGUUGAGUUGUAUGCAAGAUAAUUUCAUGUGAAAGUUUAAAAGUUAUGAUUAAACUCAAAUAAUGUAGGUUGCCUUGAAAGAUAAGUUUGAGGCUACGUCUGCUAGUAAAUUAAGGAGACUCACCAUCAAGUUUGACAAAUAUCGAAAGCGUCCAAAUGUAAUGAUAAUACAGUAUUUUUGAAAGAUGUCAAACAUGAUUCGUAAGCUAAAGUUGAUAGGUCUCUCCCUUACUGAUGAACAAUAAGUUCAUGCUGUUGUAAGGUUUCUUCCUAACAGUUAGAAGCAUAUGAGAAUAUCGUCACUUUUGACAAUAUAACGUAUCAUUUGGAAUUAGAGGAUGAAUGUCUAGAGAUUGCGAGAUCCUUUACCCAUGCUUAUAUUGCUGAAUUGAGUUCGUUCAAAACUUCGGGUUUCAAGCGCAAAAGAAACCAUAAAUUCAACAACAAAGGGAAUGAGACUAAUUAGGCACCUAAGAGGGCUAAAACCUUCUAAUGUAAAAACCAUGGUGGGAAAAAGGAUAAAGCCAAGAUGAAGUGCUAUCAUUGUGACAAGAUGGGUCACUUUGCUAGUAAAUUCAUCGAGUAAAAAGAGGUACCUUAAUAUUCUAUUACUUUAAGUAAUACUUUUGUUUUUAAUACUGUAAUGCUUGUUGAAUCACAUCAAAUAUAGACUGUAAACUUAGGAGUAACAGACCAUGUAACUAGAGACUGAGGAUUAUUUGUGGAAUAUCGUCAGCCUAAAAGAAGAUGGACAUACGUUGGGAAUAACUCAAGAGUUGAAGUAAAAGGUAUCGGCAUAUGUAAAUAAAUUUUAUGUGGUGGUUGAAAUUUAUUUUUACAUGAUGUCCUCUAUACUCUAGAGAUUUGAUGAAACUUAGUCUCCAUAAUUGUUCUUCUUAGCCUAGGUUAUCUAUUGAAUUUUUAUGGUGAUUGUAUUGAUAUUUUAUUUGAAACAGUUUAUUAUGAUUUUGGUCACAUAUUGAAUGAUUUUAUGGUGUUAGACAUUGACUAUGAUGUGUACAAUGUUAAUGUUAAUGGUUGUUUUUCUUUAAUUACAUCUUUUAGUAACGUUGAGAUUGAUGCAAGUACUUGGCAUGCUAGAUUAGGUUAUAUUGGGUUACAAAGAAUGCAAAAGUUAGCUAAAUAAGAUCUUUUAGGGUCACUCGUUAAUGUUAAUAUAUUCAUAUGUGACUAUUGUCUAACGAGAAAAGUAACUAAAAAAAAUCAUUCGGUAAAAGAGCUAAAGCCGAACUUUCUUUGCAACUUAUACAUUUUACAUUUGUGGUUCAUUGAAUGUAAUAGCGAGGCAUGAUGCCUUAUAUUUCAUCACUUUUAUAGAUGUCUUCACGCAUUUCAAUUAUAUUUUUCUAAUCUCUCAUAAAUCAGAAAUAUUAGAUUACAUUAGACGAUAUGUAACGUCAGUAGAGAAUCGGUUGAACAAAAUAAUAAAGGGCAUUGAGAACCAAUCUCGGACUUGAGUAUCUAUCUGAGCAAUUCAAGAUUCUUUAUAAUGAAAAAAGAAUUAUAUAACAAUUUAUUAUUCCUGGUACUCUGCAACAAAUUUGGGUUGCCGAGAAAAUGAAUAGAUUCCUAUUGAAAAUUGUUAGGUCUAUGAUAGUGCAAACAAAUCUACCUAUCUCAUAUUAAGAAGAUGCGUUAUUGACCAUUGCUUAUAUAUUUAACCGUGUGCCCUCAUAGUCAGUCACUUCUACCCCUUAUGAAUUAUGGAUUGGUAGGAAACCAAACCUAAGUAAUUUACGUCAUUGGGGGUGUACAGCUUAUGUUCAUAAUUCUUCUCAUAAAUAUGAUAAAUUAAGCUAUAAAUUGAAUAAAUGUAUCUUUAUAAGAUAUUCUAAACACUCCAAAGGAUAUGUUCAUAGGUGAACAUACUGAUGGAAGUAUAACUGAAAUGGAGUUACGAGAUGUCAUGUUAUUGAAGAACGAUUUUCCUAGUUGAGGUGAGAUUGAUAAGAACUUCCAAUUAUAUGGAAUGAAAGACCAUAAUAACACAACCGCUAAUGUUGUCGAGGGAAAUGAAGAUUUACUUCAACAUACAAGACCUAGAGGGAGUGCCGCGUUUUCUAGCAAAUUGAAUUCAAGAGAAGUUAAGUUACGUAAAAAUAAUCAUAAAAGCAAUCCUCGUCGUCGUUUUGAGAUUUAAGGGGAAACUUUAUGAUUAUUCCGUAAGACAAUGCCAAGCCUAAGACUAGUUAAGAGGCUCUCUCAUUCUCUGAUAAAGAAGAAUAGACAAAAACUUUGGAAGAUGAGAUGGAGUUAAUGAGGGUAAACCACAUCUAAAAUUAAGUGAAGGGCGGAUAAAUCCAUUGAAAAGUAUAAGGCUCAUACUCAACAAGAAGGUAUAGAUUAUGAGAAACAUUUUCACCAAUUGUAAGGUUUGCUUCUAUACGCCUUAUUUUAUCCAUCAUUGUACAUUUGGACUUAUAAUUAUAUCAAAUGGAUGUAAAUACAACAUUUCUUAAUGGAGAACUAGAUGAAAAAAAAAUCCAUAUGAAAUAGCUAAUAGGUUUUAUAGCUAAAGGUUAGGAGCAUAAAGUUUGCAAGCUUUAUCGUUCAAUAUAUGGCUUUAAGCAAUCAUCUAGACAGUGACAUCUUUGUUUUCAUCGAGCCAUAAUAUCUUUCGAAUUCACAAUAAUUGAAGAAGAUCAUUGUGUAUAUAUCAAAUGGUUCAAAGAUAAAUUUGUGAUUUUAUCACUUUAUAUGAACGAUAUUCUGUUAGCUGAAAAUGAUAAGGGUUUAGUUAUCAUCAUAAAAGGAUGAUUGUUCUCUAAUUUUGAAAUGAAUGUACUUUAAUUUUGAAAUGAAGGACAUGGGAUAGGUCACUUAUAUAUUGAGAGUUAAGAUCGAAAAAGAUUGAUUAAGAAAACUUCUUACUCCAUUAUAAGAGUCUUAUAUAAUGAAGAUUCUUAAGCGUUUCAAUAUGUAAAUUGUAAUCUCAUUGAUAUCAUUGUCACACAAGGUAAAUGCUUGAGUACUAAGAUUUGUCCUAAGAUUCUAGAAAAAAAGAAAGAAAUGGAAACGGUUCCUUACACUAGCGCGGUUGAAAGUUUGAUGUAUGUUAUGAUGUGUAUUUGACCCAACAUCUGUCAUGUCGUGGGGUUAGUGAGUCAAUAUCUAUUAUCAAUCAAAUUUUGAUCAAGUACACUAGAAAGUAGUGAAGAAGAUCUUAAGAUACUUGAAAAACACUAUAGACUAUCGACUUUAUUAUCAGAGAAUAAUUUACGCUUGUUAGGCUACUCAGAUGCUAGUUGAAAAGGAGACCUAGAUGAACGUAAAUCAAUUUAUGGAUAUGCAUUCUUGUUUAAUGAAUGUGCAAUUUAUUGGAAUAGUAAGAAAUGAACAUGCAUGGCUUUAUCUACGAUAGAGGCAUAAUUUAUUGCGUGCUCUACUACAGUGCAAGAAGUAGUAUAGCUAAAAUAUUUCUUAGAAAAUUUAGUCAUUGUCACUGAGGUUCUAAGACUAAUUACAAUUUAUUAUACUAGUCAAGUAGCUAUUGCCUAUGUGAAAAAUCCCAAGUAUCAUGAUAGGACAAUAAGCACAUUAAUAUAAAAAAACAACUCCAUUAGAGAUAUAAUAGCGCAUAAAGAAGUGAUGCUUCAAUAUAUUUCAACUAAUAUAAUGGUUAUUGAUCCAUUUAUAAAUGCUAUUCCUAGAGACAUCCUCUUAACCCAUAGGAUAUCUCUAGGGUUACAUAGAAUGUGAUAUGUAUUAUUGUAAAUGAUAAUUAGUUUAUGUAUAUAUGCAUUAUACUCAUUUGUCUUUAGUGAUUUGAUGUUUUAUCAAUAAGUACAAAUCCAUAAUAAGACUAGCACGAACACGCAUAUAUUGUUGAAAAAUAUAUCAGUAAGUAAUGAUUAACUUACUCACACGAGAAAUCACAUCUAGUGCUAUAGUUAGCACAUUGAGAUGAGACGUUAUGUACAUAUAAAUACUGAAAUAAAAUAACGCAUCGCCUUAAUUGGAGUCAAGAUGAGAUCUGCGAUUUGUAUGUAAUAAUGCCAAACAUGAUAAUCCCACAAUCUUGUAUGCCUGUAGGAUGUUGAAUGCAAGUACUUAAUUGGGCGAUGUAGAAAUGGAGCUAAUAUAACACUUGAGCUAAACAUGAGUAUGUGAGAAGCGCGUGACUAUACUUAGGCUAAGAUUUAUAUAAUGAAUGUAUUUAAUAAAUAACAUAUGCUCUUAUAGAAAGAGAAAUCCACUAUAGUAUAUUAUUCAUGCUACAUGUGCAUUGUAUGACCAACAAUGAAAGGUGAGUGAAAUUACCCAUAUUUACUCAUCAUAUGAGCCAUUGAGGUAAUUUAUAAUUUACUUUAUUUUGUGUCAUAUGUUACUUAUGACUAUAUUCUUGAAGUGAAAUAUCAAUGUUACUAUUUUAACAUGUUACCGGCGGUCAUGAAUAGAUAUGGAUUUAUGGGAUGUGUCUGGGAAAACAGUUGUUCUAAAAUGGAGAGAAACAUGAGUGCAAAGGAACAUUAUCGUUGUUUUACAUCUACCACAUGUAUUUAUCGAUCGAUCAAUUAUAUCACAUUUUGUGGUCUUAGAUAUAAUUGUAAAUAUAUAAUGUUAUGAGAAUAGUCAAGUAUAACCUUUAAGGGAUAGGUAUGUUUGGACUAAUAUAACAAAAUAUGUCUGGGACACUAUGAGACAUCAAUUGUUCAUUUCUUUUUAGGAUUGUAGCCACUAUGUCAUCCCUAACAAAUGUAUAAUACUCACUGGUCACACGACUUUCUUGCCAAUAUGAAUUGUUUUUAAAGUAAAUGAACAUCGAAUGUCUUAUAUUCUUGAUAUGUCCGAGUGGGAGAUGUUAUAAUUUAUUAGUACAUACACGAUAGGGUGCGACUAAGACGCACUGGUUAGUCUUAAUAUACUAUGAUGAAGAGAUACUCUUUUGAAAGGAUACAAAGUAAGUCAUAUAAAUAACUUAUGGAGAUAACUGUUAGUGUGGUUGGCAGAAAGAAUGUUCUGAAAGAAAGUUUUCUCUCUUCUUUUUCUCUCUCCAUCAAAGAAUGAAAGGCAUUUCAUUACUACUUUAAGAAGAUAAUCGACAUUAAUGCUAUGAAAAUUGAAUGUUUUCCUCGUAAUUGCAUUCGGAGUAUCAUCAAGUCUUAUUAUCUGUCGUUUGCUCGUGAUUCAAUGUUUGUUCCAUGGUAAAUUGUUCAUUGCGCAUUGAAAAUGUUAGUCAUUUCUUCCGUCGACUUUCCUCCCACAUCCUCCAUGAGCAUGUGUCGUACGAUUGACCACACAAGCAAGUGAUGGAUGGUGGUUAGAACAAAACACAAAUUGAAAUUGCGAGUGCACACUUUUAGAGCCCCGAUUAAAUAACCUUAUAUUCAAGCUCCAUCCAUAACUAGAUACAUACCGAUUUUUAUCAACGCAUACUGCCUUUUGGCUAUAUAUCAAGUAACCAGAUAUUUUUUUUUAUAAUAAUUUUCAAGGAAUACCUAUUGUGCAUUGAAGAUAAGAAAAUUUCUUGUGAGCAUAUUUGCCUAGUAUCCAUCGACAUAGUUAAUAACGUAAUCCUACAAAUAAAUCUUUGGGCUAUUUCUUUAGAUGUAUCAUCUAUUUCGUGAGCUCCAACAAGGGUUCUCAUGUGAUGCAUGUGAAUGCAAUGAUUUAUGUAAAUUUGUGAGUUCUAGUCAAGCUAAGAUAGAAUAGGUUAAAUGCUAUCCAAUAUAGGAUGUAAAAAGAAGAAACAAGCAUUAAACGAAUAAGCAAAGGAAUCAGGAAUCUUUUUGAUUAAGUUGUCUAGAAUUGUUGUGGUUAAUGAAAGAUAACUGCAAAGAAAUAGACGGCCCGUAAAUGAGAGUACCGGACGAAAAAAGGAUAGGAGCAACAUCGGUGACGUACACAUGAAUAUUGAGGGACAACUGAAACAUGGCUAGACCCUCAAUAAUUCCAAAAAAGAAGAAUUAGGAUUAUCAAUGAUUCGUGGGAGAGAGCGACGAAUUUGUGUAUGCUCAAAUUGUACAGUUAUGUGCAACUGUUGCUCAAAUAGUAAAAAGGACACGUUAGCCAUAGAAAAAAGGACAAAUGCAAACUAAAGAAAUACUUUGAAUUACUUAAACAGAUCAAAUUGCAUAUCUAGCCCUCAGCAAAAUAUAAAAUUGCAUUGUUUCCAUUCUAUAAACAAAUAGUUAGAAGCUUUUAAGAUUGUUUAUGCAUUGGUACCAUGGAAGAAAGCUUGAGAUACUAAUCAUAGAAGAAAACCUAUUGGGUACAACUGCUAUAAAUAGUCAGGACUUGAGCCUAUCGAGGUACAAAGUUGGGUUGAGAGAAAAAUUAAGGUAUAUCACAUAAUGGAUACUAAUAAUGCUACUAUUGUCCCUCUUGAUGUUCAAUUUUGUCAAAGGUGCCCCGAACAAUGGCAUAGUCCAUUGGGCUUCCAAUACUGGUUCCCAUUGAAGUGGUGAUCCUUAUGCAAACAGUGUGGCUUAUGCCCUCGAGGACACGACGACCGUGAUGUCAAAUCACAUGGACUAAAACUACUCCACUGCAUCUCCUUAUCCCGCAGCAACUGCCUAUGGUCACGCUUUAGCCAAGCACUUUCUUAUAGCCACUGUGGCUGUUAAAUCCUAAAUACUGGCAAUAUGUCCAAAUAGUCAGGGCGCUCAAGUCGAGCUUGAAGAUUGUAGAAUGAGGUACGAAAACUGCUGGUUCAGUAAUUUGGCUCCAAACAUAGAGAACCUUGUUUGAAUGGUAACGGCACUGGGAUGUGCGUUUCCAGUAUUUGCGUACGGAUUUUGCUAACAGAAAUCACAAUGACUUUGUCCCUAGUAUUUGCAUAAAGGCUAAAAGAAAUGGUAACGAUUUUGCUAAAGCCGCUUGUGAAUUUGACAUAUACGUUGAACUCGAAGUACAACUCCCUGUUGAAAUUCCAAAAGAAAUCACAAUGACUUUGUUCCUAGUAUUUGCAUACGGAUCACUACUUGAAAAUCAUUAAGGAGGUCGAGAACAUAUUUACAGCAUACAAGACAGAUACCACGUGAGGAUUCAGUCUUUUCGUUGCCAAGAAAAUAUUUCCAAGAAGCCAAAUCAGCAAAACAGAAACUAUGUCAAAUCAAUUACUGGUCAUACCACAUAAGGGUCAUCGGCAUAAACCAAAAUAAGUACAGAGGAUGAGCUAAUGCAUGAAAAAGAAAAUGGACUUAUCAGCAUAAGAUUGAACCAAACCAGCAUCUACUAAUGCAGCAGGAGAUACUUAAGAAACCAAUUUUCUCUGAAGAUUUUACUUUUCAUCGUAAAAGUGGCCAAUUUUCUCUGAAGAUUUUACUUUUCAUCGUAAAAGUGGCCUUGCUUCAGUUGAUAAGCCAAUGAACCUGCAUUGUCAAAUCAGGAAACGGGCAAAAGAGACAGCCAAGGAGUUGAUCCUCUUGAGAUAUAUACACAACUUCAAUUUGAACCUUUUGCUUGACAAGUUAUUUUCUCUGAGUUCAAUUGAUCAUGUCUGUCAUGGUAUCCACGCGUGAACUUAGCUCAAAAACUCAUCUCUGAAAUGCUUGCAUGCUACCAUGAUUGGGUCAGCAAACAAAGAGUAGAGGGCAUGCCGAGAGGCAGAUUGUCCAGGGAAAUCCUACUGUUGUAAGUGAGACACUUAAAAACAAACAGAAAAAUGUGCUCCCAAGUCAGUGAUUAAGACAGACAAAUUUGGCAAGGAAUGUACCUCUAUUGGUCGGGAAAGUAAUUCAAUUGAUGCAGUGCAAAAGAUGAUGGAAUUUACAUCAUCUGGGCCUGACUGCGAUGAAGUUGAUAGUUGCUUGCUCAAGGCGGCUAGCAUUGUUUGUCAACGGCAUUCAUGUUCACCCAUCAUCAGAUGCUUUUCAGAAAAUCCCUCGCAGUGCAAAGGGGAAGAUACUUCAAGUAGCUUUCAUACACUUGUAACCACGUUCCUUAGUCAGCAAGUCGUCCCUCAAACUUCGCUGUUAUUUGCAUGUAAGAAGAAGAGCAAAUAAACCAAAUAUAUAAUCGACCUGUGGUGAUAAUCUGAUACACAGCUUGACCCAAAUAUACUCCACUGCCGAUUCAAACACCAUCCACUUCAAGGUAUGCCUCUUCUUUGAAAUAUCUAUGGUAAAUAUGACAUUGAAAGGAUCAGAUUGUGAAAAAAGAAAGUGUAUAACAGAAAACUAGGAUCUCUCUCUCAAAGCACAUACAACAUAGGCUAAUCAGGAUUUAUGGCAUAAUAUACUUCAUUAAAUAGUAAAGUUAUCGCUAUUAACAUCUAUUUAAUACAAUAUCAUCCUCAGACUGCUUGAUCAUUUGUAUGAAUUUCCCCUGUUUGAAAAACAUUAGGCACCAAAAGCACUAACAGAUGAGUACACAUAAUAGUUCAAUACAGAGAUUUCAUACCGAACCUAGAUAUAUGAGGAUAAAAAUCCACCUUAUACCCCUCCAAAUAUUUGCCAUCUUGGGCGGUUUGAUUCAGUGAAUUGUCUCUCAGAUUUGAAACAACUUCAUCAAUGGGACAUGGGACACAAUGAGAAGAUGUUUGGAAGAAAACUUGGCAUUAAUCUGAUUUACUCUUCAUCACAUUUCAGAUGAAAACUUGGACAGAACUCAGAGACAAUGGAUAGUUCUCCUAGUAAAGGAAGAAGUUCCAUUUAUCAUGAGAUAUUUGAUCCACAACUCCAUUGUCGCUACAUCUGCAGAAAAACCCCUUUCAACCAUUUCAUUGACAAGUUGUGCUGCUCUAGUAUUUUCGUUAUUUCUUAGUAGUCCUUGGAUCAUUGUGUUGUAAGUGACACCAUCUGGAAAGCAUCCAUUUUCUUCCAUCUCCUUUAGAAGCAGAUAUGCUUCCUCCGUACGUCCUCCUUUGCACAACUCAUGCAUGAGAAUGUUAUAUGUCCACACGUUAGGUUGCAAGCCUUGAGCAUGCAAACAAUCAAACAGCCCCUUUGCACCGUCGAGUUUUCCAGCAUUACACGUGCCAUUUAUUAUCUUUCGAAGCAAUGUCAUGGCCUUGUCGAUCUGUCGCGUUUUACACAAGCCAUCCAGGAAAGAAUUCAAGGUAUAAUGACUUAGAUACAGAUCACGAGAUUGCAUCUCGUUAAUUAGCUCCCCCGCAGCUUCAAGGUUCCCAACCUGGCAAUAUCCAUUUAUGAGAGUGUUGUAUGUGAUGACAUCAGGAUUCAAGCCCCUUUCAAGCAUUUCUUGGAACAGUAUUUUUGAUUUGUCAAUUCUUUUCGCUUUGCAGUAUCCGUUAAUCAACGUGUUAUAAGUAACAACAUUAGGUGAGCAGCCUCUUUCAACCAUCAAAUUUAGAACCACCAGAGCAUCAUCCAUCCUAUUUUGCAAACAAUAACCAUUCAACAAUGCAUUAUGAGUGACGCUAUUAGGCAUUUUACCUAAUUGAAUCAUCCGGUUGAUUAUGGCCUCUGCCUCUACAAGCAUUCCCUCUUUACAAUGUGCAUCCACCAAGAUAGUGAAGGUUUGAACAUUCGGCAUGACUCUGCUUUGCACCAUAUGACUCAGCAGUCUUUGGGCCUCUUUCAAUUGGCCGGAAUUGCACACUCCUUGAAUGACAGAGGUAUAAGUAAUGACGUCUGGUUCAACUCCUGCCUUCAUCAUCUUCUCCAACAAGACCGUAGCAUCUUUCCAUUGGCCUAGGUUGCAUAAGUAAUGAACCAAGGAGUUAUAAGUGAAUAUGUCGGGUUGUAAGCCUCCGCUUGUCAUCUCUUUCAACAAUACGAGAGCAUCUUCCAUCUGGCCUACAUUGCACAGACCGUGGAUCAAGGAGGUAUAAGUAACAACAUCUGGUUUGAUACCUUUCUUACUCAUGCUUUCAUGGAGUCUCAAGGCCUCUGCGAUCAAUCCCCCCUUGCAAAGACUAUCAAUUACUAUGUUGUACGUGAAGGAAUUGAUCCUGCAGCUUCUCUCUUCCCAGUCCCUUAGCAAUUCGAUCGCCAAACUGGUGUUACCUGCCCUGCAUAACCCCUUGGCGAUUAUCGCAUACGUGGUCUCACUAGGUUCGGGACCAUUUCGUCCCAUAUCAUCGAGGAACCUCAAGGCUUGAUCAGUUUUGCGCUGAAUAAAGAGACCAUCAAUUAGGGUGUUCCGCGUCACCACAGUGAUGGGAAACCCAAGCUUGAAGAUUCUGCCGAGGAUAGACAAACCCAAAUCAACCCGCCUUAACCGGCAGAAGCAAUUCGUCCAAAUGGUCAGCAAGGCAACAUCAUCCUCGAUCCCCAAAGAAGGCAGCCGCUCAAUCAAGCGGAUGGCAGUCGAGUAGUGCUUCAUCCUCACUAUAGCACCCAGCAGUAGACUGAAAUCCCCGGAGGAAGGCAAAGGGCUCGCCUUCAUCAUUUUACCGAAGCAACACAGGGCAUCACCGACACUCGUAAACCCACCACCACCAGCUCUGCAAUUUCUCCUCACGUAACUCAAGAGCCGGUUUGGGUCGUGUAAAUUAGGGUUAGGGCUGGAAGAAAACCUCCGACGACGAAGGCAAACCGAGAAAGGAUGAGAGAGAAAGAGAAUGGAAAGGGAUGAGGACUCGCAGGAGAUGGCAGCUGGACCCCGAAGCAGAAGGAAGAAGGAAUGAGCAGGGCAGAGAGUCGCGCGCUCCAUCAGCUUGAUGCUGAUGAAUUGUGAAAACUGCAGAGCUCGACAGGUCUUCGAGUUUUUAGUCGAAUUCGGAAGUCAUUCUCCAUUUCCCAAAAUAUAAUGGAGGGCGGCUGUUGAGAGAGCUAACUGGCCGUCAGUAUCCAUGCUUGAAAAGAGGCUUAGAUAUAUUCUCAUCCUGGAGGGAUUGGUUCCUAACAAAAACAAGAGCGAGAUUUUUAUUGCAGGUGGUGACCUUUCUAUUCGAAACAGAAUCCGGUCGGCAUUUGAUUUUAAGGAAGGGAAACUCCCUGCUAUCAUAUCUUCCAGAUUGAAUAAGGGGGAUUAUAUUGCAUUGACGGAGCGUAUUACGGCUAGGAUUCAAUCCUGGGCGCAUCGUUUCCUGUCCUUUGCAGGGAGACUGCAGCUGAUUCGGUCGGUUCUUUAUUCGAUUCAAUCAUUCUGGACAAGUGUCUUUAUGCUUCCCGCUUCGAUUUUGUCGGACAUCGAGAGAAUUAUGAGGCAAUUUUUAUGGAAGGGAACGGCUCUUGGCCGUGGAAGAGCAAAAGUAGCGUGGGAGGAUGUAUGUCUUCCGAAACUUAAAGGGGGUCUUGGCAUUAGGAAUAUCAGAGAUUGCAACAAAGCCUCUAUGCUCAAAUUCAUAUGGAUCCUCUUCUCGGAUAAGGAAUCGAUGUGGUGCCGGUGGAUUCAUUCCAUUUUCUUGACAAGGAAGAAUUUUUGGUUUUCAUCUCAACCUGCGACUUGCUCCUGGGCGUGGAAGAAAAUCCUCCAGCUUAGAAAGCACUUCAGAACUUUGUUUAGGUGGAAAAUUGGUAAUGGGCUAUCGGUAUCCUUAUGGCAUGAUUACUGGCUUCCAUGUGGCCCUCUUGAUGGAUUCGUUCCGCCCUCGUUUAGGGACAAUAUGCGGCUCCCUGAUAAUGCAGUAGUUGCUGACUUAUACACCCCAUUAGGCGACUCAUUCUCUUGGAUAUUAAUCAGAUGGGGUGUAGCUUUACCAACUCUGGAGGCUUAUAAUGACAAGUUUAUUUGGUGUGGCGAUCCAUCAGCCUCCUUCUCGGUCGCAUCCGCAUGGAAUGCCAUUAGAACCAAGAGAGAUCGGGUGGAUUGGGCUUCUUUGAUUUGGGAUAUCGAUAUAGUCCCGCGCCAUCAGUUUAUUAUGUGGCUUAUAUCUAGAAACCGUCUUCCUACUCAGGUGAUGUUGUUAAAUCAAGGUCGAAUUGAUUUUAAUCUAUGUGCCUUUUGUAAUGAAGUACCGGACUCAAUCGAACACCUAUUCUUCCGGUGUCGCAUCUCGGCCUCGUUGGCCUUCUUUUGGGCGGCCAGAUGUAACUUGCCAUGGAUGAAUAGAUGUUGGAGAGAGGCGCUCACUUGGGCCAGGAAAUUCCUCAUGGGGAAGGAUUUUUACCACAGGAUAGUUCGAUUCUCUUUCGGUGCUUUGUGCCAUCUCAUUUGGAAGAAGAGGAAUGCGAUUAUCUUCGGGGGUGAAUCCUUGGUGGUCCCUGCCCUUAAAAAUCACCUAAUCAAGGUGGUUAAGGACAAAGCACUCACAUUCACGGAAGUUCUUCCUUCUCCGAGGAACAGAAGAUUGCAAAGGGGGUGGGGAUUCCACCCCAUGAUCUUUUCCUCUGUAGCUAUUCCUCCUUAGGUUGCUGUUGUUUCGGUCUGCUCUUGUUCUUGUAGUUGCAGGUUCCUUCCUCCUCCGUUCUCCGCUUUCAGCUUUGAGGGCUUGAGGGCUGGGGAGGCUACGGAUUCCUGUUGUUACGUCUUGUUUGUUGGCUUCAUAGCUUUUGUGUUCUUGCUGGCGCCCUCGGGCUUUUUAUCGGAUCCCCGUCACUCUUGCUCCUUUGUUAAGAGUGCUUGUAUGGAUCCGAUCUUUUGUACUUUUGUCCAUUCUCAUUAAUAUUAUUACCUUUACCAAAAAAAAAAAAAAUGGAGGGAGAUAUGUAAUAUUCAGUUCAUUUGAAAAGAAAGGGGGUAACCACACUGAAGUUACUUCUUUUGAUGUGAUUGAGUCAUUCGACAUUUACAUCAUAAGUAAUACCAUAUUUUGAUGUCCAAUUAGGCCAUCCAAAUUAUUUUAAAAUAGAGUUAUUAUUAUAAAGAACCCAAAAUUAAUAUAUUUACGAUCAAAAUUAGUGCAUAUAUAACAAAUUUACCAUUUAUUUUAGAUUUUACAGUUAAAUUACUGAGUUAGAUAACAUUUAACAAUUGAUGAAUGUACUAGUUUGAGAUUUUACCUUCCGUUUAUCGCAAAUAUACCGGCUUGAAAUUUUUUGUAAUAUUAAUCCAAUUAAACGGGGAGUAAAUUCACAUGUGUACUAAUUCUGAGUUUAUUGGUAAAUUUAUCAUAUAUGUAUUACUUUGAAAUUUAUCGUGAUAUUAAUCCUUCAAAAUAUUAAAUGUUAUCCUCUGCUAGUGAAAUUUACUACCAUGAAUGACAAUCUAAAAAUACUAAAGUUGAAUGGGAAAUAACUUUUGUACCUUCAAUCACUUUAAACAGACAUUCACGUUCACAUAUGCAUCCUCUCUUAAGUAAAUAUGGGUAGGUAGGAUACCGGAGGGAUCAGGGAUCAGGUUGUGUUAGGAAGAGAGCAAAAACGAAAAUCAGUAUCUCUCCCUCAAAGCACAUACACAAUAGGCUAAUCAGGAUUUAUGACCUCAACAUAAAUUUAAAAAAAAAAAAAGAUUUUUCUGCAUAGCUAACUUCAAUAUUAACAUUUAUUUAAUUUAAGAGCAUCCUCACACCGCUUGAUUGUUUAAAUGAAGCAUAAACUGACGGGUACAUGUACCAUGUAUGAACAGGGAUUUCUUGUAGAACCUAAGUACACGAGAAACAAAACCCACCUGCGACCACUCCAAAAAUCCUCAUAAUGAAGCAAGAGAAGAUCACCCAAACUUAAAACAACUCCGUUAAUGGGACAUGGGACUCAAUGAGAUGAUUUGUGGAAUAAAACUUGCCCUCAGUCGAGUUUACUCUUCAUCACUUUUCAGAUGGGAAGAGUGGACAGACCUCAAAAAAAAUUGGAUAGCUCAACCAGAAAAGGGAGAAGUUCUGUUUGUCACCAGAUAUUUAACCGACUACUCCAUCAUUGCCAUACUUGCAGAAAAACCCCUUUCAACCAUUUCACUGACAGCUUAUGCUGCUUUCGUGCCUUCCUUUUUUCCUAGUACUCCUUGGAUUAUGAUGUGAAGAGAGACGCCAUCUGGAAAGCAUCCAAUACUUUCCAUCUCCUUUAGCAGCUGAUAUGCCUCCUCCGCACAUCCUCCUUCGCACAAUCUACACAUGACAAUGCUAUACAUUCACACGUCAGGUUCUAGCCUCAAGCAUGCAAACAAUUAAACAACCCCAUAGCAUCGUAAAGCUUCCCGGAAUUACACAUGCCUUAUAUUAGAAUAGUGUAUGUCAUAAUAUCCGGCGUGAAUUUGGAGUCUUUCCUCUUUCGAAGCAAUAUUAGCCUAGCAUACUCGGUCAAUGGGUCGAGCAAGCAUCUUCACCAAUAGUCAUUGUAUGUUCAUGUUCCAUCCAUAAAAUGGUGGAACCUAUUUGCAUCCCUUAAAGACUAUAGAUCUUCCAGUUGCCAUGGGGAUAUAUUUGAUCGCAAAAUGACAAUCUCCGCAAAUGCGAAAAUGGUGGAACUUGUUUGCAUCCCUUAUGACUGAAGCGUCCAUGUGGUAAACAAGUUCAUGAGAAGAUAAGCAGUGAUUUCUCUAAUUUCGUUUUCUUUUCUUUGUUGUGAUGCUUUGUUAAUGUUGACGAGAUAUCAUGUGAAUCAUUUCCUAAAUUUGACAGAAGGACAAUAGAAGUACUAAAAGUUAUAUAUGACGCUCAUUUUAGAACUUGCCAAAGAAUGAACUUGUAAACCACCAACUGGACAAAUCACCCUGCUCAGCUGUAUCCACAAGUUCGCUUGCAGUUCCGAACUUCACGACAGAAACAACGGAAACCUAGAUUAUGUACUUUGAGAUCAGAUUCUUUGAUUAGUGAUAAGAUUCUCUUCUAGACAAACGUUGUGCGAUAGGCUAAGUGUACGUGCGACCCCUUUUAACUAGGCCGUUGGCCCAAAAGGAAAGUGGACCAGAAUUUCUUGAUCUCAGCCUAACCUAGGUCCCUGGAUUCUAUUAGAUAAGCAACACUGGCCUAAGUUCGACCAAGAAAUGGUACUGCAAUUAGAAAAUUGUUAGUUCUAGAUUCAGAACAUGUUCCGCAGAAGACCAAUUACUCUCGUGAGCUUGAUUCCACUUUUCCGGCUCAUCUCUUGUGAAGAGUCCGUCACUAAUGGACAACCCGAAAUUUAAAGCCAAAUUUGCUAUAGAGCGUCUCAGUCACAUUGCAACAGGGUGUAAACGGAAAUACCCUGCAAAAUUCCAUGUUUGCUAUAAACAAUGACCAAUGCCUCUCCAAGUGUACGAAUUCCAGAUGAAUCGUAGGCAAGUAUUGCCAUUCUAAAAUUACCUUACAGCAUAGAAUCAAGCAUCACAUAUGGUUAAAACGAUCAAAUGCCAUCAUCAAGGUUGCCUCCAGAGUGCAUCUGGGAGAGUUAUUUCCAUGCCUAUUGGUAUUUUACCAGGUCAAUUGCAAGCAAUAUUGUGUCCUCUCCCAUCAAUCGUAAGACCAGUCUCUAAAACACUUGCACCCUACUAUGAUUGUGUCAGGAAACGAAGAGUAGAGGGCGUGACGAGAGGUAGAUUGUCCGGACAAAUCCUGCUGUGGAAAGUGAAACACACAAAAACAAUCAGAAUAAAACAUGUUCCUAACUCAGUAGCUGAAACAGUUAAGCAUGGCAAGGAGUAUAUCUCCAUCGAUAGCCAACCUAUUCACUGGGAAAGUAAUUCGAUUCAACGGAAAAGACAUUGUAAAGUUACAUCAUCUGGGCCUGUGAUCAAGUUUAUUGGUGUCGCUCUAGAUGUCUACUGGGUUGGGCAUUGGGAAUGUCUGUCAACGUCAAUCAUGUUCACCCAUCAGCAGACACUUUCAAGAAAUUUUUUUGCAGUUCAGAGGAAAAGAUACUGCAGGCAGUUUUCAUACACAUCCAGCCAUGUUCAGGAUGCCGUCUCCUCCAAACUUGGCUAUUGUUUGCAUGUAAGAAGCAGGCAAAUAACCCAAAUACUGAUCAACAUACAUUGAUAAUAUGAGUACCCAGCUCGCCACAAAUAUUUUCCACUAUCGAUUUAAAGUGCCCAUCAUCAUCAUAAAAUAUCAUCCCCUUCCACGUAUGCAUCUUCUUUGAAGUAACUAUAAUAAAUUCGACAUGUAGGGAUCAGACUGUGUUAGGAAAAGAGGGAAAGAAAUUAGUACCCCUCUCAAAGCACUAGGAUCAGAUUAUGUCAGGAUAUAUGACAUUAUUUUUUCAGGCCCAACCGCUCCACCCCCCGCGGGCGGCGGCGGCCCUCUUCUGAAAUUUUUUUGAUUUCUUUAGUUCCAUUUUCAGGAAGAGUUCCAUGCUGUUUCUGCUCAAUGACUGAAUUACAUAAGUCUAGCACAUAGUAAAGUUAUUGCUACUAACAUCUAUUUAAUUCAAAAGCAUGCUCACACUGCUUGAUCAUUUGUACAAAUUUCAUCUGUUUGAUUAAUAUUAGACACAAGAAGCUCUAAUGGAGAGAAUAUACCAUUUAAAUACAGAUAUCACUUACAGAACCUAGGUACACGAGAAACAAAAUCCACCUUCUACCCCUCCAAAACCCUUAUGUGUUAGCUAGCGAAAAAAUCUCCUAGAUUGAAAAGUCUACUUCUUUAAUGGUAAAUGGGACUCGACAAGAUGAUGUGGGGAAGAAAACUUGCCAUUGAUCUAGUUUACUCUUCAUCACAUUUCAGCUGAAAAUGUGGACAUAUCUCAAAGACAAUGGAGAGUUCAGAUAGAAAAGGAAGAAGUUCCAUCCAUCACAAGAUACUUAACCCACAACUCUGCUGUCCCCACAUUUGCAGAAAACCCCCUUUCGACCAUUUCACCGACAAGUUGUGCUGCUCUCAUGUUUUCUUUAUUUCUUAGAAGCUCUUGGAUUAUUGUGUUAUAAGUGACACCAUUUGGAAAGCAUCCAUUUCCUUCAAUCUCUUUUAGCAGCUGAUAUGCUUCCUCCAUGCGACCUCCUUUGCACAACCCACGGAUAACAAUAUUAUAGGUCCACACGCCAGGUUGCAAGCCUCGAGCAUGCAAACAAUUAAACAGCCCCUUUGCAUCGUCAAGCUUUCCAGCAUUACACAUGCCAUGUGUUAGGAUAUUGUAAGUCACAAUGUUAAAGGACAAAUUUGGAAUCUUCCAUCUUUCAAAGCAAUAUAUUAUGGCCUUGUCAAUCUGCUGUGUUUUACACAAGUCAUCGAGUAAAGCACUCAAGGUAUAAUGAUUUGGAGAUAGAUUGUGAGACUGCAUCUCAUUAAUUAGCUCCACCGCGGCUUCAAGGUUCCCAACCUUGCAUAAUCCGUCCAUGAGAGUGCUGUAUGUUAUGACACCAGGAAUCAGACCCCUUUGGAGCAUUUCUUGGAAAAGCAUCUUUGACUUGUCCAUUCUUUUUGCUUUGCAGUAUCCGUUAAUCAAUGUGUUAUAAGUAACAACAUCAGGUGAGCAGCCUCUUUCAACCAUCAAAUUAAGCACUUCCAUUGCAUCUUUCAUCCUAUUUUGCAAACAAUGACCAUUCAUCAUUGUACUAUAAAUGAAAUUAUGAGGCAUUUUACCUAAUUGAAUCAUCUGGUUGAUUAUGGCCUCUGCCUCUACAAGCAUUCCCUCUUUACAAUGUGCAUCCACCAAGAUAGUGAAGGUUUGAACAUUCGGCAUGACUCUGCUUCGCACCAUAUGACUCAGCAGUCUUCGAGCCUCUUCCAAAUGGCCGGAAUUGCAAACUCCUUGAAUGACGGAGGUAUAAGUAAUGACGUUCGGUUCAAUUCCUGCCUUCAUCAUCUCCUCCAACAAGACCGUAACAUCUUUCCAUUGGCCUCGGUUGCAUAAGCAUUGAACCAAGGAGCUAUAAGUGAAUAUGUCAGGUUGGAUGCCUCUGCUCGUCAUCUCUUUCAACAAUACGAGAGCAUCUUCCAUCUGGCCUACAUUGCACAUACUGUGGAUCAAGGAGCUAUAAGUAACAACAUCUGGUUCGAUGCCUUUUCUACUCAAACUUUCGUGGAGUCUCAAGGCCUCAGUGAUCAAUCCCUCCUUGCAAAGACCAUCAAUUACUAUGUUGUAUGUGAAAGAAUCGAGUCUGCAGCUUCUCUCUUCCCAGUCCCUCAGCAAUUUAAUCGCCAAUCUAGUGUUACCCACCCUGCAUAAACCCUUUGCGAUUAUUGCAUACGUGGUCUCAUCAGGUUCGGGGCCAUUUCGUCCCAUAUCAUCGAGGAACCUCAGUGCUUGAUCAGUUUUGCCCUGAAUAAAAAGACCAUCAAUUAAAGGUACUCGAUGCCACCACAGUGACGGGAAACCCAAGCUUCAAGAUUCUGCCCAGGAUAGACAAACCCAAAUCGAUCCGCUUUAACCGACAGAAGCAAUUCAACAAAAUAUUCAGCCAAAAAUGAUUAUCUUCAACUCCUAUAGAAUGCAGCUGCUCAAUCAAGCGGAUGGCAAUCAAGGAGUGCUUCAUCCUCACUACAGUACCCAACAGAAGACUAAAAUCCCUGGGGGAAGGCAAAGGGUCCGUCUUCAUCAUUGCACCGAAGCAACGCUGGGCAUUGCCGACGCCCGAAACCACACCACCAUUCCUGCACAUUUUCCUCACGUGACCCCAGACCUGGUCCGGGUCGUCUGAAUUAGGAUGGAAUGGGAUGAUGGCUGGCUGGAGAUCGCAUGAAGAAGGAGGAAGAUGGAAGAAGUAGGGCAGCGGAGACUCGUCGGCUUCAUUGCUCUGGGGUCUCUCUCUCUCUCGAACCACGAGAGUUUCUCCCGAUGCGACGGUAGUAGCUGAAAAAUUACAGAGAAUAUGAAAUUCAAUUUAUUUAAAAAUAGAUAACACCACCGAUGGUCCGUGAAUUUUCGCCUAAUACCCAAUUAAAUCAUCGAUUAUUAUAUGCAAUGUCAUACUCGCCCUUUCCACUGGUUUAACUAAGUGCUUGAACUAUUUUAAAACAUUUGACAAUAUUAUAUGUAAUGUCAAAUAAGCAUUUAAUCAGAUUUACUAAAAUAGACAUCAAUUUCAAUCGGUAAUUUCGGACUGGAAAAAUCAAUACACAUACCUUCCUUCUUCUUUUUUUGGCUCAAUCACUUUAAGCAGACAUUCUGAUUCACUUUACUCAUUUCGAUAGAAGACAUUUUGAUUCACUUUAUUCCACCUUAAGUAGACAUUCUGAUUCACUUUACUGAAGAAUAAGGAGAGCCAUUAACAACAAUUAUGGAUGUUUUAAAGUUGACCCUUCAUUCUCAACUUAACAUGAUCUAAUGGAAAAUUUAAGAGAGAAGAUGACAUUUUUGUGUUGAACGAAUGGCUCUUUACUAAUUUGGAGUCUUUUUCAAAACAAGGAUCGCAUUGACAUUAAAAAGAAAUAAUUUAAAGACCCAAUUGAGCUAAUUUAAAGUUCAUGGAUGACUUCAUACAUUAGACAAAGUUGAAAAACCUAACUACACCUAUUAAAAAUUUUGGGAAGACAUGGACAUUCUGCAUAUUGAACAAAAAUCCAUGGAGCUAUUAGUGUCAUUGUCACAAUACGAGAAUAAUCCUACUAGCAAUUAUGUACCCUUUUCAUUUGCCUUUUAUUAAAUAUUUGGUCAAUUAAUCAAAUAGAGUAGCUAAAAAAACUUCAAAAGAAAGGAAAAUGAGAGAAAUCGCUUCUCAUUGUCUCCAUUGACUUUUUAACACAAAGCAACUUUAAGAUAAAAUUCCAAAUAAAAACCUGACGUGUUUUUAUUUUCUCAAAUAAGGCCCAGAGUAAACCUUGUUUCAAACAACGACAUGAAGUGCCAUCAUUUUUUCAAGUAAGCGCUUAAAGUAAAUCUUAUUUCAAACAAUGGCCUGAAAUAAUUAUAUCUAUUUCAAGGCCUGCCUUUCCGACUAGUCAAGAGCAUUUUAGUCAUUUACCUUUUUUAUUGAAUAUUUUCCUUUCUUAUUUCAUUUUCCCUUUUUCCUUACCUUUUUUCCUUUUUCUAGUUUUUCUGUCUUCAUUGCUGCCAGUGGCUAUGAUGAUGCUGGAAAGGGUUGGGCAAGGAUUGCCCUUGCUGGUUGCUAGUAAGGGCCCCUCAUCGGCCACAAGCGAGGCCACCCACACUAGAUUUAGCGAGGGUCGGCUUGACCUAGGGCGACGAGGGCUCAACGACCCUCACCAGCCGCUAGCGCUAAUGGCCAAUGAGGGUUGCCAAGCCCUCGUUGGCCCUAGGCAAGGCUGACCUUCGCCACAUUUGGCUAGGGUGACCUUGAGCACGGCUAGCGAGGUUAGCAUAUCCCUUGCCAGCCCUUACCAACGGUUGACAAGACUGGUCACGCUCUUGCCAACCCUUACCAACGACCACCCUUUUCCGGCGGCCACUCACCCUCGUCAGAUAAAAAAAGAAGUGAAAAAAGGACAAAAAAGAAAAGAAUAAAAAAUAAUCUAAAAUUAAAAUUGUAAUUGGUCAAAAACACCCUUAACUAGUCAAAAUGUUUAGUCAGCCGGAGACUGAUGAGGUCAAGCUCUUAUUUGCAACAAUCAUAGCCACUUUAUGUCUUUAUUUGAAAUAAUCAUGAUUAUUUUAAACAUUUAUUUGACACAAGGUUCACUUCGAGCCAUUAUUUGAAAUUUUCCCCAACCUUGAUGACUGAAACAUCAAUAUUAUCUUGAAUAUACUUUCCUUGAAAAAGACCGGUCAAUAUUUUUAAUCUAAGGAUUCAUUUGUUUUAAGAAAAAUGAAAGACUUGAAAAACAUUUCCCUAAAAAAAUGAUUGGUUAUGUUGCUCUAAAUAAUUAGCCAAUAAAAAAUAUUUUCAUUAUCGACAAUAAUUUGUGCUUGAACUUUAUUGUGGACGAUAAAAAUAUUUUUCGUUCAUAUAUUUUUGUUAGAAAUACAAUUGAUUAUAUUUAGAAAAAUAUUUUGUAACUCGUGAUUUUUUUGCGAAACAAGCGAACCUAAGACUAAUCAAAUUAUUGAUUUGACUUCCAGUUCCAAUACGUUGGAAAAUACAAGUAAAUCUUAUAUAUUGAAAAAGUCUAUGCUGAUAAACAUGGCUGCUCAGUGCACGGAAUAAUGAACCUUGCACUCCCAAAGAGGCCAACAUGUUGAUCCACGCUGUGCCAUCCCUAAAAAUUCUCUUACAAAGGCUUGGUCAAAUUGAUGACCGGUCACCGAAUGACCAGAUGAAUAGGAUCAACACCGGUUUUGACUGUAUCUUGACCAAACCGGGUGACUGAGAAAAACUAGACCCGACCAUGGUCCGGAUCCCAGUUCAAUCGAUUACACAGGCCCAUUUAAUGCUGUCAGGUUUUAGGAUUAGCGGAAUCAUAUCUUUCUUGUCCUACAAAUUAUCUCACCAAUGAACGGAUUACCUGUGGUAAAAGAUGCAAUCACAAAUAAUAUAAUGUCCAAGUUUCCAUAGUCAAUUACCCCACUUAAUCUGAUGAAUUCAAGUUUACUCUGGCAGGUUAUACUGUUCUUUGAGGGAAAAAGAAUUACUUUUUUCUACCUCUCUCUCUUAUUUACGUUAGAUAAAAAGCCUUUUUAGUGCAAAAAAACGGCAUUUGUCUCUUAUAUCCAACCACCUGCUACAUUGAAGCGUAAUAGCUGCUGGAUCAAGCGGAUGGCAAUCGAGUAGUGCUUCAUCCUCGCUAUAGCACCCAACAGGACUGAAAUCCUUGGGGGAAGGCAAAGGGUCGAUGUUGAUCAUUUUACCGAAGCAACGCAGGGCAUCGUCGACACUCGAAAACCCACCGCCACCAGCUCUGCAAAAUUUCCUCACGUAACUCAAGAGCUGGCUCGGGUCGUCUAAAUUAGGGUUAGGGAUCGAAGAAAACCUCCGGCGAUCGCGAAACGAGAAACGGGCACGAGAGAGAUGAGGGAGGGAGAGAGAGACCGGAAUGCGAUGAUGAAUCGCUGGAGAUCGCAUCUUGAGCACGAAGGAGAAGAAAGACGGAAGCCCCAUGAACACUCUAACCUAACCAAGGCGACUCCUAUCAGCUUAAUGGUGCUCGAAAGCCUCCUUUUCGAUUUCCUUCAAAACGAGUGAGUGAUAAGAAAAACUUAGGUAGAAUCAUUUUAGUGAAAUUCAAGUUAUUACACACUUGUUUAAACAAAAAAUCUAUGCAUAAAUUGAUGAAAAAUAUUUCACCCUUUAGAACAUCGAAAAUUAUUUUCCAAAGAAGUUACUAGACAUCUGCAUUUUGGACCAAAAACUCUACUUGUGCAUGAGAGAUCUAAGACUCAUUUCUGAAACCCUUGUUCAUGUGCUUAAUUUCUCAAAAGUCCGUACGCAAGUCAUUUAGAUCUUGUUCAUGUGCUUAAUUUCAAAUUAGAUCUUACUUUUCAAAUGACAAAAAAUAUUUUAUGAUUUUUUUUUUCAAAUUCCACCCAAAUUUAGAAAAUUGACUUCUUGAAAAUUAGAAAUGUAACACUUUGCAUUAAACAAAUAGAGUAUUUGAGAAAAAUCUUAGUAAACUGAUGACCAAAUUCUAUAAGUAGACUCGAGAACAUUUCAAUUAAGAAAGAGGUUGGACAAUUUUAAUAUUUUUCAAUUUAGAUCUUUUUUUACCCCUAAAAAUUGAGCUAGGACACUUGUGGGUUCUAGGCCAACGAGUGGUUCGACCAACUUGGAGAAAGAGACAACUUUGAUGGUAAUGUCGUAUUCCUCAUCUCCACCAAAAAUGAAUGUUAAGGUGAUCAGACUCCAAAAGUGUGCCAUCGCUUGUAUGAGACUCGCUUGACACUUAACCCGAAGAAGAGAUAUGAGGUAACCAAUACUUUUUUCCAUGUAGCUUUGGUCUCCUUGAUCUAUAAUUUAUCCAUCAUGCCAAGAGAGCGUCUUUGGGAGCGAGAAUGAUUUAAAUAUUCAAUCUUCCCAUUAUAUCUAAAUCACAAAAGACGUUUUACUCGAUCACCAUGGAUUACAAAUAUAAACUUUGAAAACUUAAGUUGAUGAAGUAGAAGAAUUUUAAAAAAGUACAUAACAUACUUAUAGCGUCUGAUGAGAAGGGUUUUCAAUCAUAUAAGUACAUAGGUAUACUUGUGAGAUUCGACACAUAAAGUUGGGAUAUACUAUAGGUUCAAGAAUCCCUUCCCAACAAAACACUAAAUAUAUCCCAAUCUCGCUAAUUGGUUGGGUUCAACUUUUCUCUUGCGAGAUGAGUGGGGUCGAGAAGGAUUUGAUUAUGCUACUUAUCUAACUAUACAUUUCGGUACCUACACUUGAUUAUUUGUCAACUGAAGUGUCAACACGACCUUUCACCAAAAUAUGAAUUCUCAGGUUCUCAACCAUUAAAAGCGUGAAUGAUAACAAUUAUGUUUCAGAAUUUAAUUUUGGUUCCAAAAAUCUAAUUUUAUUUUUGGGAUGAGUGUUUGAGUAAAAAUAGCGUGUGAUGACAACAUAAAAUCCCUAUUCCUAGAAUAGAAAUUUGUUUAAUAAUGAUACAAAAAUUUCUCCUUUGCAAGCUGUGGCGGUGGCAACAACAAUGGACAACCGGUGGCAAUGGCAGCAAUCAAUGGAUGACUGACAACGGUGGUGAUCGGCAAACAACAAUGGUGGAUGGCAGGCGACAGCAAGUGAGCGGUCGACUAGUAGCGAGGGCGAGUGAGGAGAAGAGUUUUUAUUUAUUAUUUAUAUUCCAAAAUAGAAAAGUAGAAAAUUUUAGCUUCUCAACAAUAUUCCAAGCUCAUUUCUAGACUAAAAAAUUGUUCUAAAAAUAGAAAAAAUAAAAUUGCAUUACCAACGAAUUUCUAUUCUAAACCUAUUCUUGAGAGUAGAAAAAUAGUUUUAGCUAGAAAUAAAAUGUUUAUCACGUGCAUCUAACUGUCAAUCUAAUGUUUUUGUAUUUAUUUAUGAUCCCGAAGUGCAACCUAAACAUUCAAUGAAAACAAACAAAUCAAAACUUAGAAAAAGCAACAUAGAAGGACCAACCAAUUAAUCUAAGUGCAUUUGGUUUUGUAUUUUGAAAGCCCAUUAAGCAAAUGCAAAGUAAUUUAGCCUAAAGGGCCUUAGAUAAAUGGAAAGGUUGUUUGAUAAACUAUGCUUUGAGAAGUAAUUUUGAGAAAAAUACCGAUCGGUAGACAACACAUUUGAGAAGCACUUUGGUGAUUAAUAUUAAUUUUCUAUAUUUUUAUUUGUUUAAAAUUGAAAAAGAAUCAAAUAAUAAUGAUGAUGAUGAUGAUGAUGAUGAUGAUGAUGAUAUAUACCAAACCCUUCGCUGGUUCGGCAAAGGGCUACAGCCGGUGAGCUAGAUUUGGUGCUAGCGGCCAUUGAUCGAGGUUGCCCAAUGGCGAGGGCCGUCAGUCGGUCGUGCAACCCAGACAAGGCGACCUCCAGCGGCCCUUACUGGGUUCACACAACCCUCGUUGGAGAUCAGCUGACCUCGGGUGACCUUAAUCGAUAGUCGUCGACGCCAAAUCUGUCCCCCCGGCGAUCGUAACCCUUCAUUAGACCAGUGAAGGGUUUGGUCCUUUUUUAAUAAAAAAAAAUAAUGAGGGAUAAAAUUUGAAAUUUGAAGAGUUGGUGAGGGUAGUUUUGGAAGAAAAAAUGAGUUCAUCAUUUGAUCAAAUGAUCAAAUGUUGAAAGUUUAAACCUAGUCCCUACUAGCAUUAGGCUUUUAGCCUUCCCAAUGCUGGCUUUCAAGUGAAAGCUUCUUCAAAAUAAUUACCAAACGGUCUAGCAUUCCCCAAGGGGCUUUGGAUCGCAUAACCAAAUAUAGAAGUUUUAGAAAAUUGAAGGUCUUCAAUGGAGGUUAACUAAAUUUAUAUUGCUCCACCGGCGGUCUUAACUGGCAACCACCUCUAUUGGUCACUAGACCACCACUAUCAGCCACAAUCAAAGAGCUGUAGAAAUUUAGAGCGUGGAUAGAAAAAUACAAACCGAGAUGAAUGCUUCUGUAGAUCCACGCUUAAGCCAUGAACUACUAGUCAUUUCUCUAGGAACUUAUGUUAGCCACCAUUAGGAGUUCAAUGCACAAAACGGAGCAACACAACAAAUACCGAUGUUAUUCUCAAUUUCAUGUUCAAGUUUCACGAAACAACAAUGACAUACGUGAAUCUAAAAUUCAUAUUGAGAUUUAAGAGAUGAUGAACCUUUUAGUCAAUAGAUAUAAUUAACCCUUUCUCGAAUACAUUUCACAGCUUCAUAGACACAUUUCAACAAACCACUUGCAUGCAACGAAAUUACUAAGUCUUAUCAUGGCAUUGAAAUGGUUUCUCAUCCAAAAUCAGCAUUAGAACAACAACGCCAUCACAAAUCAUUAAAAGAAGUCUCAAAUUAAUUCAAAUUCUUGAUGAUUUAUAUUUGAACAACAUGAAUACAUCUCAAUUUUGUGAAUCGUUUAAACAGAGCAAUGAAAUUACGUGCUCACGAAACAAUAUGAAGCUACAAUAUUUGACUAAUUCAAGGAAGAAAAAUAAAGAAACUGCCACUGGCAUAAAGGCUUCGGGUGAAAUUUGAACUUUUCAGCUUGUCUAACCAGAAUAGAGCAAGGCAGAAUCAAUGGUGGAACAACUAUUGGCAAUAAUCAAUGGUAACAAAUCAAGAGUACAUGAUGCCAUAAAUCUAAGUUCAAAUACUUUGUUAUACUUGAUUAGUUCAUCCAUGAUGUGGUGCGAUUAAGACACACUGGUUCAUUUUGAUAUGUUAUGAUAGAGAGACAUCCUUUUGAAAGGGUAUGAAGGAAGUCAUAUAAAUAACUUUUGGAGAUAACCGUUGGUGUGGUUGUUAGAAAGAAUGUUUAGAAAAAAUGUUUUCUCUCUUCUUCUCCUCUCUCCAUCAAAGAACAAAAGGCAUUCCAUUAUUGCUUUGAGAAGACAAUCGGUAUUAACGCUAUGAAAAUUGAAUGUUUUCCUUGUGAUUGUAUUCAGGGUAUCGUGAAGUCUUAUCAUCCGUCGUUGGCUCAUGAUUCACGUUCAUUUCAGGGUAAAUUGUUCAUUGCGCAUUGAAAAGGCCGGUUGUUUCUUCCACCAACUUUCCUCGUAUAUUAGUAUUAGAGCCUAUGGUAUGAUUCAUGCCUUGUUUUCCCAUCGAAUUUUCUUGUUUGCUAUUUGACAUGGGAAUUAAGAAGAUGAACUUCACAUUGUUUGGAUGUUUAUUGCUCGGAAAUUGCAACAUGAAUCGUCGAAAACAAACCAAAGUGAAAAACGGGUUUGGAGGUCGCGUACACCUGCACAAUUUUGGCCAAUUUUCGGAAUAUUUUCUCGAUUAAAUUCAUUUUUUGAGUACACAAGGUAAAAGUACUCGUCAAGAUGAGUUGAAGGGUGGGUCUAGCGCCAUCGAAAGAUGCUGGAUGCGCCCAUACGCGUGUCAACGAAUCGGUACAUGCUGACGUCAUCAAUGACAUUAGCCAAUGGUCGAUAAUUGACAAGCUAACGUCAUCAAUGUUGUUACCCAACCAGCAGCAGUUGGCCGAUUGGCGACUGACCGAUGACCCAACCUGACUAAAGACCUAAACUAGUUGACUAGUCAACCAGUCGGAUCAGUCGAACUGGCUAGGAGCCUUGUUGGCUUGUUGGCGCGUGCGCCACACGUGUCGCGCACUCAGGAGGUGCUCGUCAGCACAUGGGAGAUCCGAUUGGCGCAUGGUGGGUGGCGUUUGGCUCGUAUAGGUAUGAUCUACGUUGUGGUAUAGUUAUUUUACAUGUUUGAGGCUUUUGAAGAAAUAAAAAUUUGUAUGAAAUCUUAAGUAUGCGUUUUUUGGGUAUAAGUGCAUUGUUUGUUUCUUUUAACCUGUAUUUUCUUAUGGUUUUGGAAAUAUAAAAGUUAGCCUACAUGAAAAUGACCAUAUAUAUGUUAUGAAGAGCUUAGUUUGAUGAUAGCACAUAUAUGGUUUAAUGUGCUUACCAUUUCCUGAUUCCGAGCAAACACGAACAAUGAUUGAAAAUCCUUGAUUUUUUUCAUUACGUGUUGAAUUCUGCCUUUGAUUAUAGUUGCUCCAUAAUUUUUUUAUAUAUAUUAAUUUACAUCAUGCUAUGCCUUUUGAUAUUUAAUAGAAAAAUGUGAAAAUUACAUGGGAUCAUGUGAUUAUUCUUUUACUAGUGGGAGUUCAUAGGUUGGUAGAAUUCGAAAGAGUUCUUACCUAGAUUGGGCAAAUUAAACUAGUUAAUGAUAGUAGAAUAAUCGUACAUAGAAGCUAAUUAGGAAUACAAUAAACUUUCAUUCCUGUGUCUUUUGUUGAAUUAUAAUUAAUUUCGUUUGUCUUUGUUGCAAAUUAAAUAUAUAUGUUAUUCUGAAAAUAUGCUAGUAUUGAUUUUGCGUUUAUUAUGUCAAUGUGUUAUAACAAUUAAUUAUGGCUUUGGCAUCUAAGAUCAUUGUGAUUGACCUCAAUAAAUGUGAAAAACUGAAUGGUGACAAUUAUGAUAUUUUAAGUCGAAAGAUUUAGUACAUCUUUAAGCAGUAAGAGGUUUUAGAAACCCUUAGCCAUAACAUGAAUGAGCCUAAACAUGAAACUUUUGCUUAGCACAAGAGAGAUCAAGAAACUUAUCAAGUUUGGAAAAAGAAAAAUAUCAUUUCUCGCAUCACAUUGCUGUGUUGUAUACAAGAUAAUUUCAUGUGUAAGUUUGAAAGUUAUGAUAAAACUCAAAUAAUGUUGGUUGGCUUGAAAGAUAAGUUUGGGGCUAUGUCUGCUAGUAAAUUAAUGAGAUCUACCAUCAAGUUUGACAAAUACCGAAAACACACAAAUGUAAUGAUAAUGUAGUAUUUUCAAGAGAUGUCAAACAUGAUUCGUAAACUAAAGUCAAUAGGUCUCUUCCUUAUGGAUAAACGAUAAGUUCAGGCUGCUAUAAGGUCUCUUCCUGAUAGUUAGAAGCACAUGAUGAUCAACAUGACACACAAUGAGAAUAUCGUCACUUUUGAUGAUAUAGCGCAUCAUUUGAAAUUAGAGCAUGAAUGUCUAGAGAUUGCGAGAUCCUCUACCCAUGCUUAUAUUGCUGAGUUGAGUUCGUUCAAAGUUUCGGGCUUCAAACGCAAAAGAAACAAUAAAUUCAAUAACAAAGGGAAUGAGACUAAUUAGGCACCUAAAAUGGCUAAGACCUUUCGACGCAAGAAGCAUAGUGGGAAAAAAGAUAAAGCCAAGAUGAAGUGCUAUUAUUGUAGCAAGAUGGGUCACUUUGCUAAUAAAUUCAUCGAGUCAAAAGAGGUACCUUAAUAUUCCAUUAUUUUAAAUAAUGCUUUUGUUUUUAAUAUUGUAAUGCUUGUCGAAUCCCAUCCAAUAUGGACUGUAAACUCAGCAGUAACAGACCAUAUAACUAAAGACCGAUGAUUAUUUGUGGAAUAUUGUCGGCCUGAAAGAAGAUGAACAUAUGUUAGGAAUAACUCAAGAUUUGAAGUAAAUUGUAUCAGCACAUGUAAAUUAAUAUUACGUGGUGGUUGAAGUUUUAUUCUUACAUGAUGUCCUCUAUACUCUAGAUAUUUGACGGAACUUAGUCUCUAUAAUUAUUCUUCUUAGCCUAGGUUAUAUAUUGAAUUUCUAUGGUGAUUGUAUUGAUAUUUUAUUUGAAACAAUUUAUUAUGAUUUUGGUUAUGUAUGGAAUGAUUUUAUGGUAUUAGACAUUAACUAUGAUGUGUACAAUAUUAAUGUUAAUGGUUGUUUUUCUUUAAUUACAUCUUUUCGUAAUGUUGAGAUUGAUACAAGUACUUGGCAUGCUAGAUUAGGUCAUAUUUGGUUAUAGAGAAUGCAAAAGUUAGCUAAAGAAGACUUUUUGGGGUUACUUGCUAAUGUUGAUAUAUUCAUGUAACUAUUGUCUAGCGGGAAAAGUAAGUAAAAAAAAAAUCAUUUGGUAAAAGAGCUAGGGCCGAACUUUCUUUGCAUCUUAUACAUUUUGACAUUUGUGAUUCAUUGAAUGUAAUAGUAAAGCAUGAAGCCUUAUAUUUCAUUACUUUUAUAGAUAACUUCACACAUUUCGAUUAUAUUUUUCUAAUUUCUCAUAAGUCAGAAACAUUAGAUUACUUUAGACGAUAUAUAACAUUAGUAAAGAAUCAGUUGAACAAAAUAAUAAAGGGCAUUGAGAACCAAUUUCGGAUUUGAGUAUCUAUCUGAGCAAUUCAAGACUCUUUGUGAUGAAAAGAGAAUUAUAUGACAAUUGAUUAUUCCUAGUACUCUGUAACAAAAUGGGGUUGCCGAGAGAAUGAAUAGAUCUCUAUUGAAAAUGGUUAGGUUUAUGAUAGUGCAAACAAAUCUACAUAUCUCAUAUUAAGGAGAUGUGUUAUUGACCGCUGUUUAUAUACUUAACCGUGCGCCCACAAAGUCAGUCACUUCUACCCCUUAUGAAUUAUGGACUAAUAGAAAAUCGGACUUAAUUAAUCUACGUCAUUGGGGGUGUACAGCUUACGUUCAUAAUUCUUCUCAUAAAUAUGACAAAUUAGGUCAUAAAUGGAAGAAAUGUAUAUUUAUAAGAUAUUCUGAACACUGCAAAUGAUAUGUGUUCAUAGGUGAACAAACUGAUGGAAGUAUAACCGAAAUGGAGUCACGAGAUGUCAUGUUAUUGGAGAAUGAUUUUCCUAAUUGAGGUGAGAUUGAUAAAAACUUCCAAUCAUAUGAGAUGGAAGACCCUAAUAACACAACCAUUAAUAUUGUCGAGGGAAAUGAAGAUUUACUUCAACAUAUAAGACCUAGUGGGAGUGCCGAGUUUUCUAUCGAAUUGAAUUCAAGAGAAGUUCUAAUGUUGUGAUUUUAUCACUUUAUAUGAACGAUAUUAUGUUGGCUGGAAAUGACCAGGGUUUAGUUAUCAUCAUAAAAUGAUGGUUGUCCUCUAAUUUUGAAAUGAAGGACGUGUGAGGAACUACUUAUAUAUUGGGAGUUAAGAUCGAAAAUGUGACAAUCUGAUUUUCCACUUAUGUUUUCAAUUGAAUAAAUCGGGUUUUUCAUCGACGUGCUUAUAGUGCUAUUCUCUGAGUCGAUCACUCAUGAGAUAACUAGACUAGUUGGGGAAGUUAUUAAGGGAUUUUAAUGCAAUAAGCUUGAAAAUUCGCCCAAGAAUCGACUACUUGACCGUGUUAGUCUGCAAUAGUCAUUACGGCAUAGUCAAAAAUCUAUCAGAGAUCGGAGAUAGGUCGAUUCGACGGAGGUAUGUAAUUAGGCAAAGGUGAUUCCACCUAAUUGCAAAAUUCUCGUCAAUCGGCACUAAAUCAAUUUUUUUUGUCGUUUUGAUACUCUAUACCUGUAAUUGAAAUCUUGAAAUUUUCAUGACAACCUAGAGUCACUAAUAAGUCGAAGAUGUAUAUUGUGGUUUGAAAACAAUCGACCACAAGUCGAUUCCAUCAAAAAUUCCCAAAAACUAUUCGAUAGUUUAGGUCACGUUAAAAUCACGUCAGAUUGAAAUUAACCGCGAAAUUUAAUCCGAUUUCAGAAAUUGAGAAUUCUACCGUGUCACAAUUAAUCCUAGGAACGUUGAUGCAUCCUCUCAAGACCUUUUGAUGAAUUUGAAAUUUUGGUGGAAAUGUCAAAUUGCAACAAGUUAAGCGAAUGUGGUAAAGGCCAUAAUUUAAAUGGUUUAUUAGUCUUCAAUGUGGAACCUUUGGAGAUUGGAAUUAUAAGAAUUUAAAUAAGGCUUUAUCCUUAUUAACUAAGGUUAUGAAAUGGUAAAAUGAAAAAAGGAAAAGCUAAUGGAAAAAGGGUGCAAAAUUCGGAUGUAUGCACACCAAAAGGAAUUCCACCACCAUUUGAGUUUCGUUUGAAGAGGAUAGGCUCAUCUAGGGAAUGGUAGGUCCCUUGAGAGUGAUGGAGAAUUAGUUUCCAUGGAAAAUAGCAAAAGGUUGUGAAAAUAUGGAAAGGGGGACCCUCCAUGGUCCUUUUUCUUCUUCUCCUCUCCCCCUCCUUGUGCUAUGUGACCACUCGUCUCUCUCUCCCUUUCUCUUUCCUUCCUUUUCCCCCUACCAUAAAGUCCCUUGUCUUCUUCUCCCUUAAGCUAUUCGGCCUCCCUUGUUUCUCCUUGGCUGACAACACAACAACCAAAAAUAGCGGAGAGCUCUGUUUUGGCGCUGCCGGUUCCUAGAUUAGCAGAAGCAUUGACCAAGCUGCCCUCAUGUUCCAUUUCUCUUUUGUGUGGCCAUUAAUCACCUCUCAACCACCCUCACCAGCAGUCCAGCAGUCCACAAAAACCGGUGAGAUUUAUGCAUCCCUUUGCCGGAAGCUCAGCGCCACUGCAUACGAGUGUUGCAUCGUUUCCAUCGCCCAUCCCUUCUCGAUCUCAACUCACCACCUUCACCAGAAGUAGCCAUCCCUUCGCCAUUGCUGCUACCCUGUCACUAGAACCCCUGUUGUACUGAUGCAGCCCACCAGUCAACCGAACCGCUCCAUGAUGCCGCCACCUCGCCUCUAAUGAGCUCACGCCGUCACUGCUCGGCCUGGCUUGGCUGAGAAGACUGCUUCUAAGUAGUAGGCCGAGGGCCUUGCUAGCCUAAGCAGGGCCACCCGGAGUUAUUCCAGCGCCCCCUUAGAUCGAGACCUCGUUGCCGCCGCUCCGCCGUCGCCGGAGGUCAUUGGUUUUUAGUUUAGGUGAGUCAAUUUCCUAAUUUCUGAUUAGGGUUGAUUACAUUCCUCAAGAGUAUGAUUAAGUUAAAUAGGAUUAGAAACUAGUUUAGUUAGGAUAAUGACUAGUUAAGUAGUUAGUUGAGAUGAGAUUAGAUAGUUAGACUACUUAGUUAGGUUGUUGGUUGGAUUAUUUAGUUAGAGACUUAAAUAUUUAGUUAAAUGGUUAGACUAGAAGGAUAUUGUAAGGCACUAGUUUAGUUAGGCAUUUUAACAAUUGGUUCUAGUUAUAAUCAAAUUGAAUUUUUAGUGAAAAAUUAUAAAUGGUAAUUAAUUAAAUAAUUAAUUUAAAUGAUUCAAUUAUAAAUUAGUUAAUUAUUUAAUAUUUUCCGGAAAUUAUACCGAGAUAGUCGGUGACUGAAAUUCCGUGCUGAUUGUAGUAGCAUAUUCCAUUUAUGCCAUGGAUUGUUAAAUUGUGCAAUUGAGUGAUGGUUGUUAAAUGUGAAUAUUUAAUUCAAAACGACAGAAUUUUGGUAUUUAAUUAGAAAAUAUCCGGUGUCAAGUUUUGGACACCGAAAGUGUUUUUAAGUACUAUAUCAAACUGUUGGAUUUUAAAAGAGAUUAUACAAAUUUUCUAGUUCGAUCUGACCAUAUUCCUACACACGAUUAUUUUACCAUGCAUUUCUAACAUGAAGAAAAGAGGCCGGAUCACUAUUUUAAUUGAGAUAUUUAAGUGCAAUACAUGGUGUCCUGGGCUGAAAUUGAAUGAAUGCAUGUAUGAUAUGAGAUACUGUCACGAGCCUUUGGGGUUGGACGAUGUUUCUUCGAGAAUACCCCAAGUUAACGGAUGCCGGUCGUAGUGGAGGCUGGACCGAUGCUCCUUUGAGAAAUGCCGUCUAGAUGUAAACGUUGUCGUGCUCGAUGGUGCGAGACGAAACCUGGUUAAGUCGGAAGAUUGCUGAUUGUUAAAUCGACCGUGACCGAUGAGUCAUAACCAAUUGGAACGCAUGAAUGAUUGAGAUUGAGGGGCCAUAUUAGGAGACGAAAUUGUGUGGUGCGGUAUGGGACGUACCAUAACAAUUUGGUUUGGUAAUCAGGACCUGUGAAUCGGUGAUGAUAUAUAUUUAUAUGUGUAUACAUGUCAAGAUGUUCCAAUGAUGCAUGAUUUCAAUAUAAUUAUAUGCAAAUUGAAUGGUAUUGACAUGCAGGACAACCACUGGUGUUACGUGAGUUUGGCGGAGAUAUGGUUAGAUUGCAUGCGAGUGUACUUUUCUUUUAAUCAGGAUUUAGGGGAUGGAAUCGCUGAGACAUCGUCUCAUUGGUUAUUGUAUAAUCAUUUUCAAGUCCUUAGAUAAAGGAUUGUCAAGCAAGGUGCAGGGAUUCGCAAGAAGUGAAAGCUAGGUUUUUAUUUAGUCUCUGUCAGAUGUCGACGAGUCUUUUAUCUAGUUUGGAUAGUGGGUGAUAGCUCACCCUUUUGUUAUCAAGAAGUCUGACGUGAUCGCAAGGGACGCUGGUCCCAUGGACGAAAAGCUCAGAGCGUAGAUAGCCUAGAAGCUUUUCUUUUUGAAAUAGAUCCAUGUGGUGUUAGACAUAUAUAUAUUGUUUGUAUUAUAAGUGUGUUUUGUGAAAAUAUCAUCCUAUGUUUCUAUCCCACUUUUAUGUUAUUUGAAGAUUGUUAUUAUGUUUCCACUUGUGCCAUAAAACGAAUGGGUCGUCGAUACUUCAUGGGACGUCGCAAAUUUUAUUGAGCAUAGAGGGAUGUGCAUGUGCUCGAAAUUCGGGUCGUGACAGAAAAAGAUCGAUUAAGAAAACUCCUUACUCUAUUAUAAGAGUCUUGUAUAAUGAAGAUUCUUGAGCGUUUCAAUAUGUAGAUUGUAAUCUCAUUUAUAUCCUUAUCAUGCCAGACGAAUGUUUAAGUAUUAAGAUUUGUCCUAAGACUCUAGAAAAAAAGAAAGAAAUGGAAAUUGUACUUUACGCUAGCGCGGUCGAAAGUUUGAUGUAUGUUAUGAUAUAUACUUGACCCAACAUAUGUCAUGUCGUGGGGUUAGUGAGUCAAUAUCUAUUUAUCAAUCAAAUUCUGAUCAAGUACACUAUAAAAUAGUGAAGAAGAUCUUAAGAUACUUGAAAAACACUAUAGACUAUCAACUUUGUUAUCAAGGGAAUGAUUUACGCUCAGAUGCCAAUUGAGGAGGAAAUCUAGAUGAGCGUAAAUCAAUUUAUGGAUAUGCGUUCUUGCUUAAUGAAUGUGCAAUUUAUUGGAAUAGUAAGAAACAAACAUGCAUGGGUUUAUCUAUGAUGAAGACAGAAUUUUUUGCGUGCUCUGCAGCAGUGCAAGAAGUAGUAUAGCUAAAAUGUUUCUAAGAAAAUUCAGUCAUUGUCACUGAGGUUCUAAGACUAAUUACAGUUUAUUAUGAUAGUCAAGCAGCUAUUGCCUAUGCGAAAAAUCCCAAGUAUCAUGAUAGGACAAUAAGCACAUUGAUAUAUAUAAAAAAAAUCAUUAGAGAUAUAAUAGCACAUAAGGAAGUGAUGCUUCAAUACAUUUUAACUAAUAGAAUGGUUACUGAUCCAUUUACAAAGGAUAUUCCUAGAGAUGUGUUCUUAACCCACAGGAUAUCUCUAGGGUUACAUAGAAUGUGAUAUGUAUUAUUGUAGAUGAUAAUUUGUUUAUGUAUAUAUGCAUUAUACUCAUUUGUCUUUAGUGAUUUGAUGUUUUAUCAAUAAGUACAAAUCCAUAAUAAGACUAGCACGGACACACAUAUAUUGUUGAAAAAUAUAUCAGCAAGUAAUGAUUAACUCACUCACACGAGAAAUCACUUUCGGUGCUAUAGUUAGCACAUUGAGAUGAGACAUUAUGUACAUAUAAAUACUAAAAGAGUAAAUUUAGUACAUAAAAUAACACAUCGCCUUGAUUGGAGUCAAGAUGAGGUCUGCGAUUUGUAUGUAAUAAGGCCGAACAUGAUAAUCCUACAAUCAUGUAUGCCUGUAAGAUGCCGGAUGCAAGUACUUAAUUAGGCGUUAUAAAAAGAGAGCUAAUAUAACACUUGAGCUAAACAUGAGUAUGUGAGAAGUACAUGACUAUAUUAAGGUUAAACUCUUAUAAUGAAUGUAUUUAAUAAAUGACAUAUGCUCUUAUAGCUAGAGAAAUCCACUAUAGUAUAUUAUUCAUGCUACAUGUGUAUUGUAUGACCAACAAGGGAAGGUGAGUGAAAUUACCCCUAUUUACUCAUCAUAUGAUCCCUUGAGAUAAUUUAUAAUUUACUUUAUUUUGUGGCAUAUGUUAUUUAUGACUAUAUUCUCGAAGUGAAAGAUAAAUGUUACUACUUUAGUAUGUUAUUGGCCGUCAUGAAUAGAUAUAGAUUUAUGGGACGUGUCUGAGAAAACAUUUGUUUUGAAAUGGAGAAAAACAUGAGUGCGAAUGAAGAUUAUCGUUGUUUUACGAUCGAUCGAUCAAUUAUAUCGUCUUUUGUGGUCUUAGAUAUAAUUGUAAAUAUAUGAUGUUAUGAUAAUAGUCAAGUAUAACCUUUAAGGGAUAGGUAUGUUUGGACUAAUAUAGCAAAAUAUGUCUGGGGUACUAUGAGAUAUCAAUUGUUUAUUUCUUUUUAGGGUUAUAGCCAUUAUGUCAUCCCUAACAAGUGCUUCCACAUGUAGGUAUACUCACUAGUCGUACGGCUUUCUUGCCAAUAUGAAUUGUUUCUAAAGUAAAUGAACAUUGAAUGUCUUAUAUUCUUGAUAUGUCUGAGUGGGAGAUGUUAUAAUUUAUUAGUACGUCCACAAUAGGGUGCGAUUAAGAUGCACUCGUUCAUCUUAAUAUAUUAUGAUGAAGAGAUACUCGUUUGAAAGGAUAUGAAGGAAGUCAUAUAAAUAACUUAUGAAGAUAAUUGUUAGUGUGGUUGACAGAAAGAACAUUUUGAAAGAAAGUUUUCUCUCUUCUUUUUCUCUCUCCAUCAAAGAAUGAAAGGCAUUUCAUUACCGCUUUAAGAAGAUAAUCGACAUUAACACUAUGAAAAUUGAAUGUUUUCCUUGUAAUUGCAUUCGGAGCAUCAUGAAGUCUUAUUAUAUGUCGUUCGCUCGUGAUUCAACGUUUGUUCCACGGUAAAUUGUUCAUUGCGCAUUGAAAAUGUUAGUCAUUUCUUCCGCUGACUUUCUUCCUACAUACUCCAUGAGCAUGUGUCCUACGAUUGACCACAAAAGCAAGUGAUGGAUGGUGGUUAGAACAAAACACAAAUUGAAAUCGCGAGUGCACACUUUUAGAGCCCCGAUUAAAUAACCUUAUAUUCAAGCUCCAUCCAUAACUAGAUACAUACCGAUUUUUCUUGUGAGCAUAUUUGCCUAGUAUCCAUCGACAUAGUUAAUAACGUAAUCCUACAAAUAAAUCUUUGGGCUAUUUCUUUAGAUGUAUCAUCUAUUUUGUGAGCUCCAACAAGGUAUCUCAUGCGAUGCAUGUGAAUGCAAUGAUUUAUGUAAAUUUGUGAGUUCUAGUCAAGCUAAGAUAGAAUAGGUUAAAUGCUAUCCAAUAUAGGAUGUAAAUAGAAGAAACAAGCAUUCAACGAAUAAGCAAAGGAAUCAAGUAUCUUCUUGAUUAAGUUGUCUAGAAUUGUUGUGGUUAAUGAAAGAUAACUACAGAGAAAUAGACGGCCCCUUAAAUGAGAGUACUGGACGAAAAAGGAUAGGAGCAACAUCAGUGACGUACACAUGAAUAUUGAGGGACAAUUGAAACAUGGCUAGACCCUCAAUAAUUCCAAAAAUGAAAACUCAGGAUUAUCAAUGAUUUGUGGGAGAGAGCGAUGAAUUUGUGUAUGCUCAAAUUGUACAGUUAUGUGCAACUGUUGCUCAAAUAGUAAAAAGGACACGUUAGCCAAAGAAAAAAGGACAAAUGCAAACUAAAGAAAUACUUUGAAUUACUUAAACAGAUCAAAUUGCAUAUCUAGCCCUCAGCAAAAUAUAAAAUUGCAUUGUUUCCUUUCUAUAAACAAAUAGUUAGAAGCUUUUAAGAUUGUUUAUGCAUUGGUACCAUGGAAGAAAGCUUGAGAUACUAAUCAUAGAAGAAAACCUAUUGGGUACAACUGCUAUAAAUAGUCAGGUAUUGAGCCUAUCAAGGUACAAAGUUGGGUUGAGAGAAAAAUUAAGGUAUAUCACAUUAUGGAUACUAAUAAUGCUACUAUUGUCCCUCUUGAUGUUCAAUGUUGUCAAAGGUGCCCCGAACAAUGGCAUAGUUCAUUGGGCUUCCAAUACUGGUUCCCAUUGAAGUGGUGAUCCUUAUUAGGGGUGAGCAUGAUUCCCAGGUAGAACCGGGAACCGGAGAACCGCACCGGAGGGUCCGGUUCGGUUCCCGGUUCCAAAGAGACAAGUUCUGGUUCCCGGUUCCCCUUUUCUGGGAACCGGCGUUCUCGGUUCCGGUUCCUAUGGAAACCGGAACCGAAACCGGAACCGGAACCGGUCAUAUAAUUCAAAAAAAAAAAAAAAACCCUAACUUCCCCCCACAGAUUUCCCCCCUCUGCGGAUUCUUCCCCCCUUCCCCUUUCUUUUUCUCUCUCUUUCUUUUCUCCCCUUUUCCCUCCUCACGUCACUUCUUGCCCCCCAACUUUUUUUAUUUUCUUCUCUCUCCCUCUCUUCUCUUUCCGGUUCCGGUUCCAAAUCGCCUAGGGUUUCCUGGAUUGCUCUCUCUCUCUCUCUCUAGAAUCCUCCGUUUCUUUCUCAACGAGCGCCUCCUCCCGACGCCGUCUCCGAUCUCCUGCUUUCCGGGACCUGAUCCGCGCGACGCCCUUUGUUCUGCGGCCACUCCGAUUCGGAGCUUCGAUCGAGCGCUCGUCGCCGUCGAUUAGUUCCCGCUCUUCUUCUUCUGAUCUCUUUCUUGUUUUUUGUGGCUUGAGAGAGCGAGAGAGAGAGAGGGAAGGGGGAAAUGGUGAGGGGGAAGACGCAGAUGAAGAGGAUAGAGAACGACACGAGCAGGCAGGUGACGUUCUCGAAGCGCAGGAACGGGCUGCUGAAGAAGGCGUUCGAGCUCUCCGUCCUCUGCGACGCCGAGGUUGCACUCAUCAUCUUCUCCCCGAGGGGCAAGCUCUACGAGUUCUCGAGCUCGACGAGACGGUAGGUUUUCCUCCGCAUUUUUGCUCGUCUUUGCUCGCGACCCACCACCUCUGCUCAGCGCCAGAAGCCCCGACGCCCCUGCUACUGGGUCCUCUCUGCUCCACCGCCGCUGCAACCAGACGCCAGAAGCCACCAUUCCUGCUGCGACGCUGCUGCUGCUGUCUCCGCCUCUGCUCCGACAACCCGACGCCAGCAAUCGCGACGCCUGAUGCCGUUGCCCCGAAGACCAGCAACCGACGUCCCUGCUCGGCGCUAGAAGCCCCGACGCCCCUACUGCUGGGUCCUCCUCUGCUCCUCGACGCCCCUGCAAGUGCAUGCUGCUUUAUUCUUGGUUGUGAAUGCUGGUAGAGCUAAGUUGCAGUGUCUGACUUCCUCAUUAUUGUGAAUUAUUUAAUACUUUUGAGGCUUUAUUCCCCUUGUUUUCUCUUGACUAAGUGUGUAUCUCCAAGUGUGCCCUCUCUCCUUGUUCUAACCCUCUUUGUGUUAGUUUCCACAUUUGAGUUGACCCUCCGCGGAUGAUUUCUGACUUUUAAUAUGGUUGCACUUAUGCCUUGCUUCUCAUGCAAAACUCUGUUUCUGCGAUGAUAAUAUAUUAAAGGUCUUACUAUGGCAAGUCUGUUGGUGCCAUGCCAUUUUCAGGAGCGAAAUUGGGUAUGAUGGAUGGAGGCUCGAUUUUGUUAGAGGCUUUUGGGGCGUCUAUGUCAAAGACUACUUGGAUGCUAGUGAACCUUACUUUGCUGUUGGUGAGUACUGGGAUUCCCUCAGCUAUACAUAUGGAGAAAUGGAUCACAAUCAAGAUGCACACAGGCAGAGAAUUAUCGACUGGAUAAACGCCACAAAUGGCAUAGCUGGAGCAUUUGAUGUCACCACAAAAGGAAUUUUUCAUGCCGUAAGCACUAUCACUGAUAGAUAGGCACUUUUUUAGAUGUUCUGGAAGCAUAGACACUCUGAUUAAGUGCACUGACUCUAGAUAGAGGAAAUUCAUUCGGUGUUUUGUUUUUCUUUUUGGAUGAGUAUGCAUACCAUGUCAAUUAAUUUGUUCAUGUUAUGCUUAAAUUAGAGAUGUACAACUAUUACACUGCUGGACCCGCUGUUAUUCAAGUAGUUAUGCUCUUGGAUGUUGCCGGUGAAGGAGAACUGUAGACUAAAACUCAGGCUCUAACCCUUGAAUUAUGUACUGAUCUGCACUUGAUGAAUCUCACUAAUUAGGUUGCUGAAGGACAGGCUUUUAUAGAUUACUUGUAUGAGCAUUAACUGUACCGCUGAUUAUCUUCAGAAGCAAAAGCUCUUGAUUCCUGAUUCUCUCUUUGUGCUUUCUAACCGAAUUAAAGGAUUUAACUUGGCAGAAAGUGCCAUUACCUCAACCAACAAAUUUAUAGAAUCUGUAGAGUUUGUUACCCUUCUUCAAGUUUCAAUUAUGCGUGCCUGAUGUUUCAAUAGUCAUCCAUUAGCCAACAUCUGGCAUUAUUGAUAACUGUAAUUUUUAAUUUUGUUAACAGGUUAAGCGUAGCAAAACUUCUUCAUGGACUUACAAAAAAGAUUUCUAUGUUUUGAUAAAAACAUAUGGUUUGAGAAGAAAGAUAGGUGACAACCAGCAUCUCAACAGUGCUGAAGAUUCCGAUAAUAUGCGCGUACGUUAUAAUUCAACUCUGAAAAUGAACUAAAAAAAAAAAAAAAAAACCUGUUGGAACCUGGAACCGACCCUGGAACCUGUGACCGGGUAGGUUCCAGGUUCUUGGUUCUUACGGGUAGGUUCCAAGUUCCAUAUUUUUUGGAACCUGUACCCGAGGGUAGGUUCUAGGUUCCAGACGGAACCGAACCGGAACCUGGAACCGCUCACCCCUAAUCCUUAUGCAAACAGUGUGGCGAGGACACGACGACCGUUAUGUCAAAUCACAUGGACUACAACUACUCCACUGCAUCUCCUUAUCCCGCAGCAACUGCCUAUGGUCACGCUUUAGCCAAGCACUUUCUUAUAGCGACUGUGGCUGUUAAAUCCUAAAUACUGGCAAUUGUCCAAAUAGUUAGGGUGCUCAAGUCGAGCUUGAAGAUUGUAGAAUGAGGUACGAAAACUACUGGUUAAGUAAUUUGGCUCCAAACAUAGAGAACCUUGUUUGAAUGGUAACGGCACUGGGAUGUGCGUUGCUCAAGUGUGUUGAAGAAUAAAUGCUCUAGCCAUGUAUCCUAAUUUAUAGUUUGCGUGGUUGUUUCUGCCGUUCAUGUUGUCAUGUUUAUUGUGGGAAAAAAUAUGAUGUGUCUCCUAUACUUUUUUUGUUAGUUUAAAGUUCUCAAAUUGCCUUUUUAUGACCGAGAAAACCUAAGAAAGCAGCUAAAAGCUAAUGACUCGUAUGAAAAAUCAAAUUUGCAUUGUCUAAGUUGCACGUCAUUGGGUUUGUUCCUAUGAUACUUAAGCGAGUCUUCAAGAGACGGCAGUAUGCAAAUAAGAGGACGUGCAGGAUAGUGCAAAACCAAAAGCCGGAAUCAAUAGAAGGAAACGCUGCAUAAAGGCUAAAAGAAAUGGUAACGAUUUUGCUAAAGCCGCUUGUGAACUUGACAUAUACGUUGAACUCGAAGUACAACUCCCUGUUGAAAUUCCAAAAGAAAUCACAAUGACUUUGUCCCUAGUAUUUGCAUACGGAUCACUACUUGAAAAUCAUUAAGGAGGUCGAGAACAUAUUUACAGCAUACAAGACAGAUGCCACGUGAGGAUUCAGUCUUUUCGUUGCCAAGAAAAUAUUUCCAAGAAGCCAAAUCAGCAAAACAGAAACUAUGUCAAAUCAAUUACUGGUCAUACCACAUAAGUGUCAUCGGCAUAAACCAAAAUAAGUACAGAGGAUGAGCUAAUGCAUGAAAAAGAAAAUGGACUUAUCAGCAUAAGAUUGAACCAAACCAGCAUCUACUAAUGCAGCAGGAGGUACUUAAGAAACCAAUUUUCUCUGAAGAUUUUACUUUCAUCGUAAAAGUGGCCUUGCUUCAGUUGAUAAGCCAAUGAACCUGCGUUGUCAAAUCAGGAAACAGGCAAAAGAGACAGCCAAGGAGUUGAUCCUCUUGAGAUAUAUACACAACUUCAAUUUGAACCUUUUGCUUGACAAGUAAUUUUUUCUGAGUUCAAUUGAUCAUGUCUGCCGUGGUAUCCACGCGUGAACUUAGCUCAAAGACUCAUCUCUGAAACGCUUGCAUGCUACUAUGACUGGGUCAGCAAACAAAGAGUAGAGGGCAUGCCGAGAGGCAGAUUGUCCAGGGAAAUCCUACUGUUGUAAGUGAGACACUUAAAAACAAACAGAAAAAUGUGCUCCCGAGUCAGUAAUUAAGACAAGACAAAUUUGGCAAGGAAUGUACCUCUAUUGAUCGGGAAAGUAAUUCAAUUGAUGCAGUGGAAAAGAUGAUGGAAUUUACAUCAUCUGGGCCUGACUGCGAUGAAGUUAAUUGUUGCUCGCUCAAGGUGGCUAGCAUUGUUUGUCAACGGUGUUCAUGUUCACCCAUCAUCAGAUGCUUUUCGGAAAAUCCCUCGCAGUGCAAGGGGGAAGAUGCUUCAAGUAGCUUUCAUACACUUGUAACCACGUUCCUUAGUCAGCAAGUCAUCCCUCAAACUUCGCUGUUAUUUGCAUGUAAGAAGAAGAGCAAAUAAACCAAAUAUAUAAUCGACCUGUGGUGAUAAUCUGAUACACAGCUUGACCCAAAUAUACUCCACUGCCGAUUCAAACACCAUCCACUUCAAGGUAUGCCUCUUCUUUGAAAUAUCUAUGGUAAAUAGGACAUUGAAAGGAUCAGAUUGUGAAAAAAGAAAGUGUAUAACAGAAAACUAGGAUCUCUCUCUCAAAGCACAUACAACAUAGGCUAAUCAGGAUUUAUGGCAUAAUAUACUUCAUUACAUAGUAAAGUUAUCGCUAUUAACAUCUAUUUAAUACAAUAUCAUCCUCAGACUGCUUGAUCAUUUGUAUGAAUUUCCCCUGUUUGAAAAACAUUAGGCACCAAAAGCACUAACAGAUGAGUACACAUAAUAGUUCAAUACAGAGAUUUCGUACCGAACCUAGAUAUAUGAGGAUAAAAAUCCACCUUAUACCCCUCCAAAUAUUUGCCAUCUUGGGCAGUUUGAUUCAGUGAAUUGUCUCUCAGAUUUGAAAAAACUUCAUCAAUGGGACAUGGGACACAAUGAGAAGAUGUUUGGAAGAAAACUUGGCAUUAAUCUGAUUUACUCUUCAUCACAUUUCAGAUGAAAACUAGGACAGAACUCAGAGACAAUGGAUAGUUCUCCUAGUAUAGGAAGAAGUUCCAUUUAUCAUGAGAUAUUUGAUCCACAACUCCAUUGUCGCUACAUCUGCAGAAUAACCCCUUUCAACCAUUUCAUUGACAAGUUGUGCUGCUCUAGUAUUUUCGUUAUUUCUUAGUAGUCCUUGGAUCAUUGUGUUGUAAGUGACACCAUCUGGAAAGCAUCCAUUUUCUUCCAUCUCCUUUAGAAGCAGAUAUGCUUCCUCCGUACGUCCUCCUUUGCACAACUCAUGCAUGAGAAUGUUAUAUGUCCACACGUUAGGUUGCAAGCCUUGAGCAUGCAAACUAUCAAACAGCCCCUUUGCACCAUCGAGUUUUCCAGCAUUACACAUGCCAUUUAUUAUCUUCCGAAGCAAUGUCAUGGCCUUGUCAAUCUGUCGCGUUUUACACAAGCCAUCCAGGAAAGAAUUCAAGGUAUAAUGAUUUAGAUACAGAUCACGAGAUUGCAUCUCGUUAAUUAGCUCCCCCGCGGCUUCAAGGUUCCCAACCUGGCAAUAUCCACUUAUGAGAGUGUUGUAUGUGAUGACAUCAGGAUUCAAGCCCCUUUCAAGCAUUUCUUGGAACAGUAUUUUUGAUUUGUCAAUUCUUUUCGCUUUGCAGUAUCCGUUAAUCAAUGUGUUAUAAGAAACGACAUUAGGUAAGCAGCCUCUUUCAACCAUCAAAUUAAGAACCGCCAUAGCAUCAUCCAUCCUAUUUUGCAAACAAUAACCAUUCAUCAAUGUACUAUAAGUGAAACUAUCAGGCAUUUUACCUAAUUGAAUCAUCUGGUUGAUUAUGGCCUCUGCUUCUACAAGCAUUCCCUCUUUACAAUGUGCAUCCACCAGAAUAUUGAAGGUUUGAACAUCCGGCAUGACUCUGCUUUGCACCAUAUGACUCAGCAGUCUUUGGGCCUCUUUCAAUUGGCCGGAAUUGCACACUCCUUGAAUGACAGAGUUAUAAGUAACGACAUCUGGUUCAAUUCCUGCCUCCAUCAUCUUCUCCAACAAGACCAUAGCAUCUUUCCAUUGGCCUAGCUUGCACAAGUAAUGAACCAAGGAGGUAUAAGUGAAUAUGUUGGGUUGGAAGCCUCCGCUUGUCAUCUCUUUCAACAAUAUGAGAGCAUCUUCCAUCUGGCCUACAUUGCACAGACCGUGGAUCAAGGAGUUAUAAGUAACAACAUCUGGUUUGAUACCUUUCUCGCUCAUGCUUUUGUGGAGUCUCAAGGCCUCUGUGAUCAAUCCCUCCUUGCAAAGACCAUUUAUUACUAUGUUGUAUGUGAAGGAAUUGAUGCUGCAGCUUCUCUCUUCCCAGUUCCUCAGCAAUUCGAUGGCCAAUCUGGUGUUACCCGCCCUGCAUAACCCCUUGGUGAUUAUCGCAUACGUGGUCUCACUAGGUUCGGGGCCAUUUCGUCCCAUAUCAUCGAGGAACCUCAGUGCUUGAUCAGUUUUGCCCUGAAUAAAGAGACCAUCAAUCAGGGUGUUCCACGUCACCACAUCGAUGUGAAACCCAAGCUUGAAGAUUCUGCCCAGAAUAGACAAGCCCAUAUCGACCCGCUUUAACCGGCAGAAGCAAUUUAUCCAAAUAUUGAGCAAGGCAACAUCACCCUCGAUCCCCAAAGAAGGCAGCUGCUCAAUCAAUCGGAUGGCAGUCGAGUAGUGCUUCAUCCUCACUAUAGCGCCCAACAGUAGACUGAAAUCCCAGGGGGAAGGCAAAGGGCUCGCCUUUAUCAUUUUACCGAAGCAACACAGGGCAUCACCGACACUCGUAAACACACCACCACCACCACCAGCUCUGCGAUUUGUCCUCACGCAACACAAGACCUGGUUGGGGUCGUCUAAAUUAGGGUUAGGGGUCGAGGAAAACCUCCGACGACGGUGAGACGAGAAAGGGAGAUGGAGGAUGGAAUGGGAUGUGGACUCGCUGGAGAUCGCAGCUGGAGCACCAAGAAGGAGGAAGAUGGAAGAAGCAGGGCAGAUAUUCGUUGGCUUCAUCGGUUGAUGACGAAUCUGAAAACUGAAAAGCUUCAGCUCAUGGCGCUCUCUCUAUCUCUCUCCCCGUCUCACUAUCAAGCUUUUAUACUCAGGCUCGGCUCUACCGUUUGUUGGUUAUAAUUAGGGGUGAGCAGCGGUCCAAGGUCAACCCUGGACCGACCUGAACUGGCCCGACCCUACUCGUCCUAGUUCGGUUCCCCGGGGACUGGGUUGGUCUUUGGUACUGAAAUUUCAAGAUCAACACUAUACGGGUUGGUUUUUGGUCCUAAGAGUUUUUGGUCGGUCUAAUCUUGGACCAACCAUAUAUAUUAUAUCAUAUUAUAUUAUUUAUAAUUCUUUUAUAUAUUCAAACCUAAAUAAAAUAUUUGUUAUAUUAUAUUAUAUUAUAUUAUAUUGAAAUGUUCUAUCCAUAAUUAAAAGUUCAAGUGAAUUAACAAGAUGUGAAGUUAUAUAUUUAUGGUUUAUAUUAAGUAUUUUGAACUUUUUAUGGUUCAAUUGUAUUUUACUACUGAAUUUCAGCUGUACUUUUCUUUUCAAUUUGUGUCAAAUGGUAGAAGUUUUUGAAGAGUAGAAUAGUACUACAGUUGCUACAGUGAUUUGCUAGUCAAGUGGUGUAAGCUCAUUUUUGGUUGAAUGGACUCUACAUGAUCAAAUGCAGGAAACGCUUUUGAAUAUAGUGUUAUGAAUAUUAAAGAUAGAUGAUUACAAGAACUUUCUAUAUUAUCUCAUAUCUCGAUGAGCGGUUAGCAUGUACAAAAUUUCUAUUAUUGUGUCAUCUUAAAUUUGCUAAAUAUGUAUUUGUAUUUAUAAUUUAGUUACACAAUACCGCAUUGUCGAUGGAUGUGUAAUUUGAAUUUGUAGGUUUGCUUUUUUAGGGAGUAUAAAAAAUAAGACGAAAAAAAUUAUCAAUCAGUCCUGGGUUGACCCUGGAACCGGACCAAACCCAUUGGGUCGGUCCGGUCCUUGGUCCCAGACUCAAUAGGGUCGGUCCUUGGUCCUAAAAAUUGAGGACCAACACUGUACGGGUUGGUCCUAAGAUUAAGGGGUGGCCAAGACCACCCGGACCAUGCUCACCCCUAGUUAUAAUAUCGAACGGAAAGAUGUAAGAUCUGGAUAGGGCAUGAUUUCAAAUGAUCUCGCAUCAUUAUUUACUGACGAUACAAAUUUUCUUUUAUCCAUUUUUUAAAUAAGUAAUACAAUUAAUCAUUUUCACCACAAAAUCAUAUUUGCAUUUUUCGUUCCUAGUGGCUCGUGUGCAUAGCUUUACUUCUCUUGCAAAUAGUUAAGACUUGCUGGAUCAUUAGACAUACUCAUAAAUAGUGUGAUAACUUAAUGAUAAGUAUCUAACAAUAUAUUUCAAUCGACUUAACUUGUAACUACGAUUGUGUAUGUUUGUACGGAUGAAUAGAUUAUAGCAUGUAACACGGAAUUUAACUCAUUCUAUGUCCCGAUCCAACAAUUGAAGUUUGAUUUGACAAAUAUUUCUGACUCAGUCAUUCCUAAUUCCACUACAAGGCCUUCAGCAUUCUGCUUCAUAAACCGCAAUCCUUCUUAGAAAUAUAGUUGUUCAAGGAUUUAAACAAAAACACCGGAGAAGAUGAGAGAGAGAGAGAGAGAGAGUAGUGACAGGCUAUGCCGUUAAAAUUUGAAAUUGAAACACGAAAUUUAUCCUAGGAGUACGUUUAACAAAUAACUCCACUAUAAUUAGCACAUUGCAUCUCUAUGUUACAACUCUCAAUUACAAGAAAAAGAAAUCAUAUAUGCCUAGUAACUAUUCAUGGACUUGAACCAAAAUUAUUAAUAAAAUAUGAGCUCAAACUAUAAAAACCUCAAAACUCCUCUAUGCCUUCCUAUUAAUUGGGAGUAUGAAUCACAUCCCCUACAUAUCAUAUAGUACGGAAAUUGUUGUUAGAGAGGCAAAGUGGCAAAAAAUAGGGAUGGAUUUGAGUGGGUCACAGAGUGAGAAAGAAGCAAUGGUGGGUGGCAACGAAUACUCCGGUGGUAGAUGACGACACUCGGGCUAGUCAUUGGUGACUACGAUUGGCGAGAGAGGCAAACAAGAACUAGAGGUCGAGAGGGGCAUCAAGCGUGAGUGAAUUAAUGGCAACGGGCUUUACCCAAAUGAAAACCAAAAUGAGUUUACUUUCAUUAUGAAACUCCAAUUAGUACUGCCUCAAACAUUUUUCCCAAAAGUCUUUUGAAAAAAAAAAACUAAAUUAAUACCUCAUGAUAUAUUUAUUCAAACUAAUUUCAUCUCAUAGAAUAUCCUAAUUGAUACCUCUCACACAAAUCUAUCCUCCGUUAAAAUGCAUACAUGUCAACAUACAUGAAUUUUCCACAUCGGAUCAAUCAUUUUUUACCUCUCAUUCAUCAUGUGUUGACAAAUAUGCAUUACAAGUAGAUUCUGGUUUUAUUUUUUGUGAGACGAAAUUAAUUUGCGACCAACGUGCCAUGCAUUUACUAAUUUGAGAUUUUUUUUUGUAAGGUUAGUAAUAUAUUGACUUUUAACCAAAAAUUAUACAACAGGGGGUUCUUGGCACCAAAAAACUUACUCACUUUGGAAUUUAUCGUGAUAUUAAUCCUUCAAAAUAUUAAAUGCUAUCAUCUGCUAGUGAAAUUUACUACCAUGAACAACAGUCUAAAAAUACUAAAGUUGAAUGGGAAAUAACUUUUGUACCUUCAAUCACUUCAAACAUAUUCAUGUUCACAUAUGCAUCCUCUCUGAAGUAAAUAUGGGUAGGUAGGACAUUGGAGGGAUCAGGGAUCAGGCUGUGUUAGGAAGAGAGCAAAAAGGAAAACCAAUAUCUCUCCCUCAAAGCACAUACACAAUAGAUUAAUCGGGAUUUAUGACCUCAACAUUAAUUAAAAAAAAGGAUUUUUGUGCUUAGCAAACUAAAGUAUUAACAUCUUUUUAAUUUAAGAGCAUCCUCACGCUGCUUGAUUGUUUAUAUGAAGCAUAAACCGACGGGUACAUGUACCAUGUAUGAAUAGAGAUUUCUUGCAUAACUUAGCUCAAGGCUGGUAGGGACCAGCCUUGGGCUUUCAGAAUUCUACCAAAUGUUGAAAACAUUUUUUUUCCUAAACUAUCCUCAUUAAUUUUUUGUAUUUCUGUUAUUGCCCCUAUAUUUAUUUAUUUUUUUAAAUGAAGAAGGAGCAGCCCUUUGCCGAACCAACGAAGGGCGACGGCCGCCAGCGCCAGAUCCGGCUCGCCAGCGGCCACAGCCCUUCGCCGGCUGGCGAAGGGUUUAGCUGAAUUUUCAAAGAAAAGAAAAAUAUAUAUAUAUUACCCAAAGCCCCUUGGAAAGUUCUUUUUACCAAAUACACAUUCAACUCAAAGUUCAUUUGCAAAAUUUUUUUACCAAACACAAUUGCAUUUUUCCCAAGUAGCUUUGGGCUUUCAGCAUUUGCAUUGAACUCAAAGCCCAUUGCAAAUGCUGAACCAAACGCAGUCUUAGAUACACGAGAAACAAAACCCUCCAAAAAUCCUCAUAAUAAAGCAAUAGAAGGUCACCCAGACUUAAAACAACUCCGUUAAUGGGACAUGGGACUCAAUGAGAUGAUUUGUGGAAUAAAACUUGCCCUCAAUCUAGUUUACUCUUCAUCACUUUUCAGAUGGAAAGAGUGGACAGACCUCAGAAAAAAUGGAUAGCUCAACCAGAAAAGGAAGAAGUUCCGUUUGUCACCAGAUGUUUAACCAACAACUCCAUUGUUGCCAUACUUGCUGAAAAACCCCUUUCAACCAUUUCACCGACAGCUUAUGCUGCUUUCAUGUCUUCCUUAUUUCUUAGUAGUCCUUGGAUUAUGAUGUUAAGAGAGACACCAUCUGGAAAGCAUCCAAUACUCUCCAUCUCCUUCAGCAGCUGAUACGCCUCCUCCGCACAUCCUCCUUCGCACAAUCUACACAUGACAAAGCUAUACAUCCACACGUCAGGUUCCAGCCUCAAGCAUGCAAACAAUUAAACAGCCCCAUAGCAUCGUCAAGCUUCCCGGAGUUACACAUGCCUUAUAUUAGAAUAGUGUAUGACACAAUAUCCGGUGUGAAUUUGGAGUCUUUCAUCUUUCGAAGCAAUAUCAGCCCAGCAUACUCGGUCAAUGGGUCGAGCAAGCAUCUUCACCAAUAGUCAUUGCAUGGGCAUGUUCCAUCCAUAAAAUGGUGGAACCUGUUUGCAUCCCUUACGACUAUAGGUCUUCCAGUUGCCAUGGAGAUAUAUUUGAUCGCAGAAUGACAAUCUCCACAAAUGCGAAGAUUCUUAAAUACCCUAAUAGAUUUCGGACUGGAGGUGCUUAUAAGGCCAAAAACGACAGCAAUUUUCUCACUGUGUUGGAGCAAAUAUUGUUCCUUUUGUCCCUCCUCCACAUCAUGAAGAACAAAUUGAGUACUCGGAAAAUAACCCAGUUUCUUUAUUCUACUAGCCAAUCGGUCUAGUUCCUCAUAGAUCUCCCAUGCCUUCGGAUGUGAAGCAUCGCCUGUUGGAAAAAGUUUAGAAUACAUAAAAAAAAAAAAAUUUAUUGAAAAUACAUUACGAAGGAUUAGAAAAUAGAAAAACAAAUGUAUGAGGCGUGCAAGUACUGUCCUUAAGGAUAAUUCCGCCCCUCGGAGUACGAAACUUGGUGCGUAAUGCUUCAGUGGCUAUCGUCCCAAGAUACAACAGACAUUCAUCUAUACUCCGCACUGAAUAUUAGAAGGAAACAUAACAACUUUUAUGUAUAACCCAGCUGAAAGGAAAUGAAAGAUAUAUGAGAAUAUAUUGUGUCUUUAUGAGAUCUUAUUUUUAUAUUUAGACAAAAUAGAGCCGUUAAAAGAGCCGUUGUAAAAUAAUGGAUGAUUUAUUUGAGAAAUAAAUUAAACGUUACAAAACGAUUUAAAAAGCCAUUAUAUGACCAUUAAGAAACCGUUAUGUGACCGUUAAAAAUAAUGAUGAUUUUCAAUGCGAUCAUAACUUUUAUCGAAGCUAUUAUUGUAAAUAUUUCAAAACUGCUGAAAUAUCCAACAAUCCCCCACAUAUUUCAGAAAGUUUUGACAAGAAAAUAAAAUAAUGCUGGGUUAUUGGAGAGUAAUGUAUCGGAAUUGGUGCUUGUUAGGUUAUGAACCAACCCUAGAAAGAAUGAAAUAUAAUUAAUGAAAUCAUUAGUGAAGUUUGAAACUUCUAUGAACUAAAAAUUUCUUUUGUGAAUUAUAAUUUUCAUCAAUCACAUUAUACUCCCACAAACUUUGUUGUUCAACGCGGUUUUGCGCUAAUAGGCCAUGCGCAUGCUUGGUUUAUUCAUAAGUGCUUCAGAGAUUUUCGCCAAAAAAUCUCAUAAGAGCGGCCCCACUCCACACUUAUAUAGGUGAUUCCAUCAAGUGUAUUAUGCAGUUUAAUACACCAUCAAUAAUGGCUAUGGAAUUUCAUUAAGAACUUAGCUCAACCUCUUUUUCCUUGUAAUUUUGCACUAUUUUCACUUUAGAAUGGACAAUAAAUUUUAAUAGUGCACUAAAUCAAUAAAUGACUUGUUAUUACCAAUAUGAACCUAAUUCAUGGGAUCGCCAAUCACAUAAGUUAGGUUACCAUCACUGUUGAUUUUCUUCAAUUGGCUUGUCCCAUUCCCUUCGAUGUAUAGUCAAAUGAUUGGCCAAAUCAUUUCUGACUUAAUAUAAUCGAUUGAUAUAAAUCCCUUUUAUAAGGAAUUAUUUUAUCACAUCACGUUUCAACCAAACGUCUCUUUUUGCCAUUGAAAGUUUCAUUCUUUGCAAUAGCUAUUGCCUUUUGGCAAUCAUAAUGUCUAGACAUAAGUGUUAUUUCAUUUCCAUAGGAACAUACAGUAAGAAAUUUCUCAACUACUCAGCCUCAAUUUUAAUGAGUUUGAGAAAUUUUUCUUCUUCCCAAGAACUUGAGUAGUUCUUCAAUCAUCAAGAUAAAUAUUUUCUUCUCCUUCCUUACUAGAGGUUAGGAGGAUAAAGCAUUAUGUUUUUAACAUAUAUGCUUGGUAGUACCUAAGUCUGUCUCAAAUUCUUUUGCAUUUGCCAAAAUAUUGGCUUGGAAAAUGACUACAACAAUUACAUCAUUAGAUCAUCUACUUCAACCAAGUCAAAUUUUGGUUGAGCAGGAUUGUCAUUUCCCCCACAAUUUCAUUUGACUGCUUUUUAUGUUGCGACACCUCCACAAGGUGGACACAUAUUCAUUUGUGGAUUUUGUCUCAUAUGAAUCCGAGAUCCACUUAACAUCACUGUAUUAUUCUAAUACAGUGAAAAAUCCACUAUGUAAAAAUGUCAUAGUUUUAUAUUCACAUGGCCGCAAAAUCCAUAAAAAUUCUAUUGUUGUGAAAAUUGAUCUCACCUGAGAUGUUCAUUGGUUGUCGUGGAGUCUUUGACUUCUGUCUCUUCACGCUGAUCUCUACUCAAAUCAGCCAGACAUACAAGUUCGUUGAUGAUGGCAUAUUCAUUCAAAGAAAAUUUUGCACUAGGAGCUGCUCUUAUUCUAAUAAAAAGAAGCUUGAAGAAGUGAGUAUUUGUAAGGACAAAUUUGGCCUCCACCAAACCCAAUACCAAGCACUUGUCAACACUAAAUGGUAUAUCAACGAUAGAAAAUUUGUUGCUUUGCUAAAACAUUUAUAAAAGUAGCAUUAUGAAAUCAUCAUAAAUCCCAUUUGCAAGUGUUGAAUCCUCAUCAGCAAUGUUACAUACACAUGUAGGAGCACAAAAACACUAAUUAACGCUCGACUCUAAAUCCUACCACAAAAAGUCCUAUCUUAAGAUCGAUGACAAGAUGAUUACCACUCUUAACGCAAGUGAAACUAUUCACACCAAAAAAAAAAGAAUAAAAUAGUUCACAUUUUAGAAAGGAACAUUAGCUACAAUCCUUGAGAUUGGCUAUGCAUUGAACGUUAUUUACUGUCCUUGACCCACAUAUUAGAUAAUGGAAAGUAAGCAGUACGCAAUGGGUCAAAUGAAGCAAAGGAUAUCUAAAGUUAUUAUAAGAUAUACAAUUACCUUGGUCUUGCGCUACCAUAAGAGUGAUCUUGCGCUACCAUAAGAGUGAUGGCUCUUUAAUACGAAUAUCAUAAAAUCUUCUAUUUCAGUUUAAAUUUUUACCUGCAGCUUCUAGAAGGUAACAAAAUAAGGUGACAAUAAGUUUUUAACAAAUCUUGAAUGUCACUAAUAGUGUCCUGUCUCCUAGAUAAGUUCUCAUCAUGCUCUGUUAAAGAGGCAAUAAAAUGUCACAAAUUAAAAUGAUACAUGAAAAUACCACCACUUUCACUUUACAAGCACUAGACUAAAAAUGAACUGGCUAAAUCUCUUCCACUGGCACUCAGAGUUUAUUCAAAAUCUCAAACUGAGAAAGAAACAACUACCGGCAUGCAUCCAUCAAUGGUGCUCAUCCAAUAUCCCUAAAAUAUAAAGCAGGGCAAAGACAAAAUGCAAAAAUAUAUAUAGCUUGAUUUCGUAUGUUGUACCUCCUCUAUUUUUAAUGAGCAUAAAGAAGGCCAAUAUGAGACUCAUAAUUUUCAGCUUGCAUUAUUAACAAUUGCACCAGAUAGAAAGGUCAAAGCCAAGCAAUAGUCAAAAUAAAACCUACUAAUAUAACAGUUCAAAGUUAAAUCAAAUACACCACCCAAUCACAAUCACUAUUGCUCUCUUCUAAUGGAAGAGCAACUGACGCCUUAAUGAAUUUUCCAAAAAAUUAAACAACAAGAAGAACAUGGUUCUACUAACAACAACAUCAUUGCAGUGGUUCUCAAGCUUGGAGACAUACUUCUUGUCCUAUCAACACAAAAAUUCCUUGAUGGAUACUAGAAGUCAUUAACAUUCAGAUGGUAAGAAUUUGAAACCAUUUUGUAAAGUAAAAUUUACUCACAAAAAUCCAAAGUUUCCAUUUUUUUUCUUUUUCAUUUCUAAAAUAUGAAAUGGGUCACUACAUAAUGGUUAAUAUCAAGCGGUCAACCAAUUAAAACAAUAGGAACAAUCUCUAAUCCUAAAAUUACAACUUCCAAAUCAUGAACAGAAUUAAAAUAGGAAACCCCAAUGCGGAUUGAAGCUUACGAAUAAUCACAAAUUUGAGUGAGCAAAUAAUUACAAGCACCCAACUUCCUCUCGAAACAAAUUUAGGUAUUAAAGCCUCAAAGUACGAUUUUACCUUACAUUCAAUAACCUUACCAAAACGACCAAGAAACCUUUGACGAUGCUCAGUAAUUUCCCACAACAUCUGCCCAUGAAUAUGUGAUACUUGUACUUCACCAUCUCGAUCAGUCUUUCAAUUCCAAUUGCGGUGGUGGCGACAGCAACAACUUCAACUUGGAAAUCCAUAGGACUUAUCCUUAAGAUUGUUGGAACAAGAAGGAUUAGAAAAUAGAAAAACAAAUGUUUGAGGCGUGCAAGCACUGUCCUUAAGGAUAAUUCCGCCCCUCGGAGUACGAAACUCGGUGCAUAAGGCUUCAGCGGCACUGAAUAUUAGAAAGAAACAUAACAAUUUUUAUGUAUAACCCAGCUCAUAGGAAAUGAAAGAUAUAUGAGAAUAUAUUGUGUCUUAUGAGAUCUUAUUUUUAUAUUUAAACAAAAUAGAGCUGUUAAAAGAGCCGUUGUAAAAUAAUGGAGGAUUUAUUUGAGAAAUAAAUUAAAUGUUACAAAACAAUUUAAAAAGCCAUUAUAUGACCGUUAAGAAACCGUUAUGUGACCGUUAAAAAUAAUGAUGGUCUUCAAUACGGUCAUAACUUUUAUCGAAGCUAUUAUUGUAAAUAUUUCAAAACUGCUGAAAUAUCCAACAGUGAAAUAUCCAACAUCACCCACAUAGAACUUGUGAACUGUAUUUUUCACUUCAAUCCAGCUACAACCAGCUUCUUUUGUAAGAUCUUUCAGUUUCAUCUUCUUUCUGAUUGCUGCAGCAUCUUCCCAUAGACCAGCCGAGGCAUAAAUAUUUUAUAGCAAAAUAUAAGUCGCAGUGUCAUCUGGUUCUUGCUCAAAAAUCAUUGCUGCAGCUUGUUUUGCAAGUUCAACAUUGCCAUGAACUCGGCAAGCUCCGAGAAAUGUACGCCAGACAAGUGUAUCAGCCCGGAAAGGCAUUGAAUUUAUAAACUGAAGGGCUUCGACAAGGGAUCCUGAUCUGCCCAAUAAGUCCACCAUACAUGCAUAGUGUUCGGUUCUAGGCACGAUUCCAUGUUCUGUGUACAUUGACCUAAAGUGUUUCCAUCCAUCAGAUAUCAAACCCACAUGACUACAAGAGGAUAAAACAGCAACAUAGGUGAUCUCAUUUGGCCUCACACCAGCAUCAAGCAUUUGAUGGAAUGUGUCUAGAGCUCUCAUCCCAAAUCCAAGCUUUGCAAAACCAGUAAUCAUUGAAGUCCAAGUUAUGACAUUUUUCUCUCUUGUCCCACUGAAAACUCGAAAAGCAGCUUCUAUGUUUCCACACCUGGAAUACAUAGAGAUCAAAGCAUUGGAAAUGCACUGAUUUGAGUCAAGCCCUGAUUUUACCAUCCUCGCAUGGAUUUGCUCCCCCUUACCAAUAGCGCCAACGCAGGCAACUCCACUCAAAAGGCUGGCAAAUGUAAAAGCACUUGUUCCGAUCCCUCUCUCCUCAAUCUCAUGUAGUAGUUCAAAGGCUUCAUCGGACUCCAAACUUUUGGCAUAGGCAUCUACAAGGGUAUUAUAAGAAACCAGAUUCUUUUCAAAUAGUGCAUCAAAAGCUCUCUGAGCGUCUUCCAUGUGGCCCGACCGGGAAUACAUGCUGACAAGAGAAUUACCCACGCAAGUAUCACAGGCAAAGCCCAAUUUUAUAGCUAGUGCAUAUAUUUGUAUCCCCAUAUCUACAUCACAAAUAUUUCCACAUGCCUUGAGAACACCAGCAAAUGCGAAAUCGUUUGGCCUCACGGGACCUUUUGUCAUUUCCCAAAAGAGCUUGAUAGCCUCCUCAUUCUCUUCCGCCCGUGCAUAUCCUGUGAUUAUCGCCGUCCAAGACAUUACAUUGUGAUCUUGCAUCUGAUCAAACACCUUUCUCGAAUCAUGAAGCGAUCCACCAUCUACAGACUUGACAUACAUGUCCAGCAAACUGCAUCCAACACAGACAUCCGAAGCCAAUCCAGACCGUAUAACCCAGGAAUGCAAUUGUACCCCGAGCGAUAGUAACUCCAACUCUGAACAUGCAGACAAAACAGCCGUGAGUGUAAAUCUAUCUGGCACAGGCCCACUCACCAGCAUAUCCAAAAACAAAUCAACAGCUUUCUUUGGACUACCCAACUGAGUACAUCUCGUCAUCAUCAAAGUCCAAGCAACCACAUUCCUCUCGGGCAUUUUCUCAAACACCUUACGAGCUGAAACCAAAUCAGCACUACCCUUUGCAAACAUGUCAAUCAAUGCACACCCAACACACACAUCAGAAUCAAGAUAGCCGCUUUUGAUAAUAAACCCGAAAACCGUAUCGCCAAUAGAUGCACUCUCCGGGACCGAGCAAGCCCGAGCAACCGCCGCGAAACAAUAAUCAUUAGGGAAAAACCCAUCCUCGAGCAUAUGAACGAACGUAUCCACCGCUUCAAACUCCAUGUGAUUAUUGGCAUAGCAGGAGAUCAUGGAACUCCAAGAAACCAUGUCCCUCUUAUCGCCCAUGUCCCCAAAAACCCUCUCCGCCUCAGCCCAGUCGUUGGAUUUCGAGUAGAGACUGAUGAGCGAGUUGAGGAUCACCGAGUCGGGCUCGAGCCCGGACCGGGCGAGCGCGCGGUGGACGCGCCUCCCCAGCGCGAACGCGCGGGAGCGGAUGCAUGACUUGAGGAGGAGCGACAAGGUGAGGACGUCGGGGUGGGACCCGUCGCGGGACGCGAGCUCGAGUCACUAGAUAGCUCCGCGGAGGUCGCCGCCAUCGAGGCGGGCGACGAGGCGGCGGCCGUCGAGGGGCGAGGGGGGAAGGUUUUGGCGGGAAGGAGAGAGCUUGACGGUGGACGGUGGAGGGAAGAGAGAGAAAUUCAUUGCUCCAUGCAAGACCAGCAUGGCCUGCUACAUCAAGAAAUGAAAAUAGAUAGGUUCAUGAAUUACAUGGUCAAUUAUGCUUUUGAUUGAACUACUUUUAUUUUGCAUUACUUCUUACCUGAGAAAAGAUAAUCAAACGAUGGACGAUCUCGUAAUUUUAUUGUUAUACAUAAGUUAUCGGGACACUUAAUGUAUUUAAGAACGAUUCAAGUUCUGUUUGAGUGUUCACAUCAUCAACUCGUUUCUCGAAUGAAUACAAAAGAGGGUAGAUACUUUAUUAAUAUCUUCUUCAAACAUGUCUAGGGACUCUUUUUUAGGGGUGAUUAGUUCCUAACACUUUAUUAAUAUAUCCUUCAAACAUGUCUAGGGACCCUUUUUAAGGGGUGAUUAGUUCCUGAUUCAGUUCGAUUUCGAUGCGGAAUCAGAAAUCCAUUUGUAAUAUUAGAAAAGUAGUCGGGAAAUAGAUUUGGAACAAAAAUAAAAAAGUAAAAAAAAAAUAACUUCUUGUUCUCGGGAACAAUUUCUAGAAAUAAGUUUGUUUUCUUUUCUUUUUCUUUUCUUUUCUUCUUUUCUUCUUAUUCGUUGGCGACCACACCCUUUGCCGCUUGUCGUCGGCUGACUGCCGUUGCUGCCACCGCCAUCUAUCACCACCCACCACUAAUGACCGCCGAUGACGCCACCCACCAGCUAGCUAACAAACUACAGUCACCAUUAUGGCAUUGAAAUUUUUUCCAAUCUAGAAACUUGAAUAAUAUUUAACUCUUGCCAUUAGCAAAUUGACAAAUUAGCCAAAGGAAAAAUGGCAAAUGUACACUUAAGAAAUAAUUUGAAUUUCAUGAACAGAUCAAACUGCAUACUUGGUCCAAAGCAAACGAUCAAAUCGCAUUGUUUCCUUCUUAUGUCCGAAACAAACAGAAGCUUUUGAGAAUGCUCAUGCAUUGCUACCAUUAAACGAAGAUUUAUAUGCUAAUCCCUACUGGGGACAACCACUAUAAAUAGUGAAGACUUGAGCCUCUCUCGAGAUGCAAAAUAGGAGUGAGCACAAAAAUUAAGUAAAGGAUAUCAAGUUAAGGAUGCUCCUUCAAGAGUUGCAGUUAUGCUAGUUGGGUCCCUUUUAAUGUUCUAUAUUGUUCAAGGUGCUCCGAACACUAACAUAACUUAUAGGGGCCGCAAUGGUGGUACCUAUUCGAGCAACGACCCUAAUGCAGACAGCGUGGCUUAUGUCCUCGCUGACAUGGCGACUGUCACACCAAAUCAUGCAAAUUACGACUACUACACCGCGUCUCCUUAUCCCACGGCAGCUGCCUAUGGUCAUGCCCCCUGUAACCCGGCACUUUCUUUCAGCGAUUGCGGUAUAUGUGUUAGCGCUGCUAAGGCUCGAAUAUUGGCAGACUGUCCAAACAUUUUUCGGCAUCGAUAUGGUGUGAAGAUUGCAGUAUGAAGUAUGAAAACUAUUUAUUUACUGAUUAAAUAGUUCGCCGCCAAACCAGAGAGCCGUGUUCUAUUGUAUGCGGUUGUUUCUGCCGCACAUGUUGCCAUGUUUGUUUUUGCAAGAAAUGACAUCCUAGAAGAUAUGCUUUCUUUGUCAAUUUAAAGUUCUCAAAAUAAUACUUAUUUAUUAUGAUGAAAAAACCUAACAAAAUAUCUAUAAGCUAAUGACUAGUGUGAAAAUGUGCCGUGUAUCUAAUCCAUUCUUACGUUCAUUAGAUUUGUUAUUACGAUCCAAAAGUAUGCAAUUACUAUAUGCUGUGUAUCUUCCCCUUAUUCCAACUACCUACAUUUAUCACAAGAGUAUGCAAUUACUAUAUGCCCAUUUCCAAAAGUUCUAUAGAAUAAUCGAGAAAGCCCUUGUCUCUGGAGAUAAUCAAGGAUUGCUCGUUCAUGGACAGAAACCUUUUAGAUCGUAUCACUUCCUUGGACCAUAACACAUGUGCCUUACUUCACUUUACACCAUCUGAUAAUCUUAUUAUUUCUUAAUUUGGCACACCCAUCUUAUUAUGAAGAAAAGAUGCAAGAGACCACAUUUUGGUAUAAUCAAAAACACGCGAUGUACCUGACUAGCUUUCCACGUAGUCGAAUAUUCCAGCUUGAUUGCAAUUAUUAGGAUCAAUAGUGGAAGAUAAAGCACUAUCUACAAAAAUGGGAAGAAAAAUGUUUUGGGCAAGAUUUUGUGCUCUGGAGGAGAAGAAGCACCACCAAAUUGUGAAGGUAAUUGAAAAAAACUCUAAACCCACUGCAUUUUAAGCAAUUCAGUCAUAAAUCUUUUAAUUUUACCAAUUGACUUCUAAUUUUUUUUUUCACUUAUCAGCAGUUGAUUCUAUUCUGCCAAUUUUGGCCAAAAAUUACUAACAUAGACGGCUGGGUUGACGUGACAUUUUUUAAAUAAUAUUUUAAUAAUAUUUUGAAGGUCGAGGCGAGGGCGGGCAACCCUCACCUCUGGUAGGCCCUCGUCUAAGCUUCGGUGACCUAGUCGGCCUUUGCUGCCGUCCCAUUGGCAAUGGGGGGCGGUAGCCACAGGGGAGAAUAAGCACCCUCUCCCUCUCACUUCUGUUUUCCUUUUUCUAAAAGUUUUUUUUCUAAAGAAAAAAGGAAAAAAAUUUAAAAAAUUUAAAAAAACAAAAUUGUCAUAUAUAGACUCUUCUUUGAGACUAAUAUUGGCAUUUCAAGCACUUAUUUGAGACAAUGAAUGCACUUCGGCCCCUUAUUUAAAAUAAAAUUCACUUUAAACUCUUAUUUGAGAAAAUAAAGGCACUUGAGGCCAUUAUUUGGAAUUUUCUCAAAAAACAAAAUUAAAAAAAAAAUUAAGAAGAAUAAAGUAAAUGGCUAAUGAUUUUCCUCACAAGAUUUUCAAAUUUCCAGUAUGAUAAUUUAUUUGCUCUGAAGGAAUAAAAGUUUCUUAGGGCAAAAAUUGCUAGAAAAAUAAGCAUCACCUUUUAAAGAAGGACAAAAGGAUCACAUUCUCCUUGCUCGAGGAACUCUUGAGCAAGAUGACCCAAAAUGCAUAUCAUUCUCAUCUUAAUUUAACCUUCAUGACUUAGCCUUCAUACGUAAGGAUUCAACUGACUGCCAUGGAAACACUGAAGUUGAGAGAACAUGUGACAUUUCAACGUCCAACACACUACACAAUCAUUUUGUGCGGAAAAAUUCUACAAUUAGUCAUAAACCUCUAGCACAUAAAUCAAUUGAGUCUUAAACCUUUCAAUUGAAAUAAUAGAAUCCUAAAAUUUUGUGGGAAAAUGCAAUCAAGUCCUCUCAUCCAAGUCUUGUUUGAUUUAUCUAAUGUGGCAAUCCAGUAAUCGCCAUCUAUCCUAUGUAAUGUUUCUAUCCUAUGUAAUGGCGACGACAUGACGUGGUCUAUUUUCAUCGAGAUGACGUCGCUUUCAAACUUACUGGUCAUCAUCUUUUAGCUUGCAUUCGCUUGGCUAGAGCUCCUCUGGUGCUCGUCCAUUGCUGUCCACUACUGCUUGGACCUUCGACGGUGUGCUGCCACCACUAUCGACCUAGAGGUGUGAAUCAAAUUCUAUGCAUUAAUAGUUCCUCAUAGCAACCAAUCUAAGGAUAGAAAGAAACCAACCACAAAACCCAACUCAAGACAUCUCACAGAAUAAGGUGGCACGAUUGUAAUGCACCAAUGGCUUAGUAUCGAAUGCCAACUAAGCCUCAAAAUUGCAAAAUUCGAUUAGUGCAAUUCCAUAGUAAAACAUUGCCCAUGGAGGCAUGUUGCUUUAUGAUAAGUACUAUCCUCUCAAACAAGGAACUUCCAUUUAGGAAGAAAACAAUCCUAUACAUUGCUUGCUUGCAUUAAGCUAUCCAUUGAGUUUGUGACUAUGUAACGCAAGCUGUUUGGCUGUGCUCUUACAAUAAUGUCUUGAUGCCUGGUGUAUUCCUUCGUUGAUGGCCCACAGCGUGAAUCUAUUUUGAAAAUGAUGUUCCCUUAAUGACUGUACUCUCAAUUCUUGCAAAGAUUGAAGGUUUCAAGGCCUCUAGUUGAUAUCGAUAUCUAACACUAAAGGAUCAAUCUGAGGUGAGUCGACAUAAUUUACAGUAAAGGAUACACCAUGCCCGCGACUUUCCAGCAAAAGAAAUCAUAAAGCUUCUUUUGAAACUGAAGCCUGAUGAUGCACUUGCACAUGGUUCUAGUCAGCGAAGAAUCUCGAAAAGUGAAAUUAAAACCAUCAUCGCAAAAACAGUGGCUUUGCUUCAGUGGGUAAGCCCAUAGACCAGCUUUUGUAAACAAGAAAAUGGACAACAGAGAGCUGAGUUGAUCCAAUUGUUAUAUAUGCAGAACUUCGAAUUGAUCCUUUUGCUCGAAAGGUUCUUUCUUCUGAGUUCAAUCGAUCAUAUCGGCCAUGAUAUCCACACGUGAACUUUGCUAGAAGAGCGUUCUCUGGAAUGCUUCCAUGCUACUAUGAUUAUGUGAGGAAACAAAGAGGAGUGGGCGUGACAAGAGGAAGACUGUCCAAGCAAUCCUGCUGCCUUAAGCGAAACAUGCGAAAACAAACAGAAAAAUCAGUAAUUGAAACAGAUAAAAAAGGCAAGAAAUGAGCCUCCGUUGAGAGGCAACCCUAUUUAUUGGGAAAGUAAACCAAUUGAUAGAGUGGAAAUGACAAUGGAAAGGUAAAUCAUACGGGCCUGACUGUGAUGAAUUUGGUUGGUGUCGCUCAAGACGUCUAUGUGGUUUGGCAUCUGUCAAUGGUAUUCACCCAUCAGCAGAGGCUUUUCUGAAAAUCCCUCACAGUGCAAAGGAAAAGAUACUGCAAGUAGUUUUCAUACACUUGCUGCCACGUCCCUUAGUCAACAAGAAGCAGAGCAGAUAACCCAAACGUGUAAUCUACCUUAGAUGAUAAUCUGAGUAACUAGCUCGCCACAAAUAUUCUCCCCUAUUAAUGCAAAGUGCACAUCACCAUGAUCAGGUACCAUCCACUUCCACUUAUGCAUCUUCUUUGAAGUAACUACAGGACAUUGAAGGGAUCAGAUUGUCAGGAAAAGAGUAUAAAAGAAAACUAGUAUAUCUCUCUCCAGCACAUAAGUAACAAGCUAAUCUGGAUUUAUGGUAUAAUUUUUUGAACCCAACGCCCCCCCCCCCCCCCCCCCAAUCGAAAAAGGCUGACUCCCCCCCCCCCCCCCCCCCCCAAAAAAAAAAAAAAUUAUAUAUAUAGGUCCCUGAUAUUGGUGCAUAACGUCUGCAUUGCAGAUCUUUGGUACAAAGUAAAUGUAUUGCCAUUAACAUCAACUUAACUCAAGAGCAUCCUGACACCAUACAAAGUAAAUAUAUAGGUCCCCGAUAUUUUCUUGCACGCUACUAUUAUUAUAUUUGUGUCAAGACACAAAGAGUAGAGGGGGUAACAAGACUCUCCAGGCAAAUCCUGCAGUUGUGAGUGGAACAUGCAAAAACAAACCAAAACAUUUGUUUGUCUGAUGAUAAAACAGAAAACUGGCAAUGAAUUUACCUCUAUAGAGAGCGAAAGAAAGUUAAAUCCUAUGAGCCUGUUUGUAAUGAAGUUGAUUGGUGCCACUCCAGAUGUCAAUGUGGUUUGGCAAGCAAUGUCUGUCAGAGGCAUUCAUGUUCACGCAUCAACAGAUGCUUUUUGGAAAAUCCCUUGCAGUGCAAAGGAAAAGAUACUGAAAGUUGUUUCCAUACAGUUGCAGCUAUGUUCCUUAGUCAGCAAGCCGUCCAUCAAACUUUGCUGUGAGAAGCAGAGCAAAUAACCCAAAUAUGUAAUCAACCUGCAUGACAAUCUGAGUACCCAGCCCGCCACAAGUAUUCACUGUUAUUGAUUCAAAGUGCCCAUCACCAUGAUCAUAUACCAUCCACUUCCACCCAUGCAUCUUCUUUGAAGAACUAUGGCAAAUAAGACAUUGAAGGGAUCAGAGGUGUUAGGAAAAGAAAAUAAAAGAAAACCAGUAUCUCUCUCUCAAAGCACAUACAUUACACCCUGAAAAAAAAAGAAAAAAAAGUAGUUUUCUUUAGUCCCAUUGAGGAAGAGGUCCAUGAUACUUGUCUAUAAUGUCUGAAUUGCAUAUAGUACACAGUAAAGUUAUGCUAUUAACAUUGAUUUAAUUUGAGAACAUCCUCACACCAAUUGAUCAUUCAUAUGAAUUUGACCUGUUUGAUAAAUAGUAGGCACCAGAAGCACUAACCCACAAGUACAUCUACCAGUUAAAUACAGAUUUCUUGCAAAACCUAGGCAUACGAAAAGCAAAAUCAACCUUUCCCCCCUCCAAAAGCCUGAUAAUCAAGCAAGAGGAAAAAUCUCCCAGACUUAAAACAACUUCAUUAACGGGACAUGGGACUCAAGGAGGUGAUGUCUGGAAGAAAACCUGCUGUUAAUCUGGCUUACUCUCCAUCAAAUUUUAGAUGAAAAAGUGGACAGAUCUCACACACAAUGGAGAAAUGAAGGAGCUCCAUUUGUCAAGAGAAAUUUAACCCACAACUCCAUUGUUGCUAAGUCUGCAGAAAAACCCCUUUCAACCAUUUCACCAACAAGUUGCGCUGCUCUCGUAUUUUCGUUAUCUCUUAGUAGUCCUUGGAUGAUUGUGUUAUAAGCGACACCAUCCGGAAGGCAUCCAUUUCCUUGCAUCUCCUUUAGCAGCUGAUAUGCUUCCUCUGUGCGUCCUCCUUUGCACAAUCCACGCAUGACAAUACUAUACGUCCACACGUUAGGUUGCAACCCUCGAGCAUGCAAACAAUCAAACAGCCCUAUUGCAUCGUCGAGCUUUCCGGCAUUACACAUGCCAUUUAUUAGGAUACUGUAAGUCACGAUGUUAGGGAUGAUUUUGGAAUCUUCCAUCUUUUGAAGCAAUAUCAUGGCCUUGUCAAUCUGCUGCGCUUUACACAAGCCAUUGAGGAAAGCACCCAAGGUAUAAUGAUUUGGGGAGAGAUCGCGAGAAUGCAUCUCAUUAAUUAGCUCCGCUGCGGCUUCAAGGUUCCCAACCUUGCAAAAUCCGUCCACGAGAGUGUUGUAUGUGAUGACAUCAGGAAUCAGGCCCCUUUGAAGCAUUUCUUGGAAAAACAUCUUUGACUUGUCCAUUCUUUUCGCUUUGCAGUAUCCGUUAAUCAACGUGUUAUAAGUAACAACAGUAGGUGAGCAGCCUCUUUCAACCAUCAAAUUAAGCACUUCCAUUGCAUCUUUCAUCCUAUUUUGCAAACAAUAACCAUUCAUCAAUGUACUGUAGAUGAAAAUAUCAGGCACUUUACCUAAUUGAAUCAUCUGGUCGACUACGGCCUCUGCCUCUACAAGCAAUCCCUCUUUACAAUGUGCAUCCACCAGGAUACCGAAGGUUAGAACGUCAGGCAUGACUCUGCUUUGCACCAUACGACUCAGCAGUCUUCGGGCCUCUUCCAAAUGGCCGGAAUUGCAAACUCCUUGAAUGACGGAGGUAUAAGUAACGACGUCCGGUUCGAUUCCUGCGUUCAUCAUCUUCUCCAACAAGACCAUAGCAUCUUUCCAUUGGCCUCGGUUGCAUAAGCAAUGAACCAAGGAGCUAUAAGUGAAUAUGCUGGGUUGGAUGCCUCCGCUCGUCAUCUGUUUCAACAAUACGAGAGCACCUUCCAUCUGGCCUACAUCGCACAUACUGUGGAUCAAGGAAUUAUAAGUAACAACAUCUGGUUCAACGCCUUUCUUGCUCAUAAUGCCGUGGAGUCUCAAUGCCUCUGUGAUGAAUCCCUUCUUGCAAAGACUAUCUAUUAUUAUGCCGUAUGCGAAGGAAUUGAGCCUGCAGCCUCUCUCUUCCCAGUCCCUCAGCAAUUCAAUCGCCAAUCUAGUGUUACCCACCCUGCAUAAACCCUUUGCGAUUAUGGCAUACGUGGUCUCAUCAGGUUCGGGGCCAUUUCGUCCCAUAUCAUCGAGGAACCUCAGUGCUUGAUCAGUUUUGCCCUGAAUAAAGAGACCAUCAAUUAAGGUACUCGAUGCCACCACAUCGAUGGGAAACCCAAGCUUCAAGAUUCUGCCCAGGAUAGACAAACCCAAAUCGACCCGCUGUAACCGACAGAAGCAAUUCAACGAAAUAUUCAGCCAAAUAUGAUUAUCUUCAACUCCUAACGAACGCAGCUGCUCAAUCAAGCGGAUGGCAGUGGAGUAGUGCUUCAUCCUCACUACAGCACCCAACAGAAGACUGAAAUCCCGGGGGGAAGGCAAAGGGUCCGUCUUCAUCAAUGCACCGAAGCAACGCUGGGCAUCGCCGACGCUCGAAAACACACCACCAUUCCUGCAAAUUUUCCUCGCGUGACUCAAGACCUCGCUUGGGUCAUCUAAAUUAAGGUUAGGGGUCGAGGAAAACCGACGACGACGACGACGACGGCGAGACGAGAGAGGGAGGAUGGAAGGGGAUGAUGGCUGGCUGGAGAUCGCAUGAAGAAGGAGGAAGAUGGAAGAAGCAGGGCGGCGGAGACUCGUCGGCUUCAUUGCUCUGGGGCCUCUCUCUCUCUCUCUCUCUCGAACCACGAGAGUUUCUCCCAAUGCGACGGUAGUAGCUGAAAAAUUACAGGGGAAAAUAUGGAAUUCAAUUUAUUUGAAAAUAGAUAACACAACCGAUGGUCCGUGAAUUUUACUAAUUUGGAGUCUUUUAUUCAAAACAAGGAUCGCAUUGACAUUAAAAAAGAAAUAAUUUAAAGACCCAAUUUGAGCUACUUUAAAGUUCAUGGAUGACUUCAUACAUUAGACAUAGUUGAAAAACCUAACUACACCUAUUAAAAUUUUUGGGAAGACAUGGACAUUCUGCAUAUUGAACAAAAAUCCAUGGAGCUAUUAGUGUCAUUGUCACAAUACGAGAAUAAUCCUACUAGCAAUUACGUACCCUUUUCAUUUAUCUUUUAUUAAAAUAUUUGGUCAAUUAAUCAAAUAAAGUAGCUAAAAAAACUUCAGGAGAAAGGAAAAUGAGAGAAAUCGCUUCUCAUCAUCUCCAUUGACUUUUUAACACUAAGCAACUUUAAGAUAAAAUUCAAAAUAAAAGCCUAGCGUGCCUUUAUUUUCUCAAAUAAAGUCCGAAGUAAACCUUGUUUCAAACAACAACACGAAGUGCAAUCAUUUUUUCAAGUAAGCACUCAAAGUAGAUCUUAUUUCAAACAAUGGCCUGAAAUAAUUAUAUCUAUUUCAAGGCCUAAUAUUCCGACUAGUCAAGAGCAUUUUGGUCAUUUAUCUUUUUUAUUGAAUAUUUUCCUUUCUUCUUUCUUUUUCCCGUUUUCCUUUACUUUUUUCUAGUUUUUCUUUCUUCAUUGCCGCCGAUGGCCAUCGAUGAUGCUGGAAAGGGUUGGGCAAGGAUUGCCCUUGCUCGCUGCUAGUAAGGGCCCCUCAUCGGCCACAAGUGAGGCCACCCUCACUAGAUUUAGCGAGGGUCGGCUUGACCUAGGGCGACGAGGGCCCAACGACCCUCACCAGCCACUAGCGCUAGGUAAGGUAGGCGAGAGUCACCUCACCCAAUCGCUAACAGCCGAUAAGGGUCGCCAAGCCCUCGUUGGCCCUAGGCAAGGCUAACCUUUGCCACAUUUGGCGAGGGUGGCCUUGAGCACAACCAACGAGGUUAGCAUAUCCCUUGCCAGCCCUUGCCAGCGGUCGAUAAGGGUGGCCAAGCUCUUGCCAGCCCUUACUAGCGACAACCCUUACCGACGGCCGCUCGCCAUCGUCACAUUAAAAAAAAAAAAAGUUAAACAAGGACAGAAAAAAAUAAUAAUAAUAAAUAAUCUAAAAUUAAAAUUGUAAUAGGACAAAAACACCCUUAAUUGGUCGAAAUGUUUAGUCUGCUGAAGCCGAAGACGGAUGAGGUCAAGCUUUUAUUUGAAACGACCAUAGCCACUUUAUGUCUUUAUUUAAAAUAAUCAUGAUCAUUUCAAGCAUUUAUUUGACACAAGAUUUACUUCGAGCCAUUUUUUGGAAUUUUCCCCAACUCUAAUGACUAAAAUAUCAGUAUUAUCUUGAAUAUACUUUCCUUGAAAAGACAGUCAAUAUUUUUAAUUUAAGGAUUUAUUUGUUUUAAGAAAAAUGAAAGACUUGAAAAACAUUUCUCUAAAAAAUGAUUGGUUAUGUUGCUCUAAAUAAUUAGCCAACAAAAAAUAUUUUCAUUAUCGAUAAUAAUUUGUGCCUGAACUUUAUUGUGGACGAUAAAAAUAUUUUUCGUUCAUAUAUUUUUGUUAGCAAUACAAUUGAUUAUAUUUAGAAAAAAAUAUUUUCUAAAUUGUGAUUUUUCACAAAACAAGCUAACCUAAGACUAAUCAAAUAAUUGAUUUGACUUGCAGUUCCAAUACGUUGGAAAAUACAAGUAAAUCUUAUAUAUUGAAAAAGUCUAUGCUGAUAAACAUGGCUGCUCAGUGCACGAAAUAAUGAACCCUGCACUUCCAAGAGGCCAACAUGUUGAUCCACAUGUUAUAACCCUGCUACAUUGAAGCGUAAUAGCUUGUUUUAUGGACAGCAAUGCUUACAUACACUAAGGGUGCAUUUGGAAAAACUUUUGGGGAAAGUCUUUAGGAAAAUGCAAAGGCCUUUUAAUGGUAUUUUUCAAAAUGCAAACUGUUUUUGGUAAAUUGUAAUUUAAAAGCCCUUGUGAAGUACCUUUGAGCAAAAUGGUGUUUGGAAGACAAAAGACUUUUGUGAAAAAAAAUAUUAUCAAAAAAUAAAAAUAAAAAAAAUGAAAACCGGCAAGGGCAGGCGGCAUCCGACGGCGACCCCCGGCAACCUUCGGCAACCCCGGAUCUAGGCCGGCGAGGUCGCGCGCGUCGCACGAUGCCGCCUCGACCUCCGAGAACCCCGAUUGGCCGUCGCGAGGCUACGCAACCCUUGCUUGAGGUUGGAGGACCUCGGCGAGGGCCGUGCUUGGGUCGUGCGACCUCGGCGAGGGUUGCGCCUGGGUCGUGCGACCCGAGCAACUACCGCCGAGGCCACCCUCGAUGGAGAAGAUGAACACUGAUUUGAGCAGCUACAGCUAGGGCCACCCUCGACGGAGAAGUUGAAUGGUGCUCCUCAUAAGGGCAAAAAAUGGAAAACAAAAAGUUCGUAAGGAUAAUUUCGGAAAUAUAUAUAUAUGAAUGAACAGUACCCCGAGCGGGCAUGCCGGAAAAGCCGAAAGCCCAAGGCAGGUCCUCCCCUGCCUUGGGCUUUCAGCCUUCACAAGGCUGGCCUUCUCCAAAGGGGGCUUCAAAUGUUUUUGCCAAACACCCCUACUUUAGCCCAAAGAUCUUUAGGGGCGCAAAGAUACUUGGCAAAGUGGUUGACAAACGGAGCCUAACUGUCCCUCCAGAAAGAACUUCAAAGUACUUGGGUCGGGUUUUUUGUGUUGACUGACUGCAAUGAAGUUGGUUGGUGUCGCUCAAGACUUCCAUGUGGUUUGGCAUUGGCCACUGGGAAUGUCUGUCAACAGCGUUCAUGUUCACCCAUCAGCAGAGGCUUUUCUGAAAAUCCCUAGCAGGGCAAAGGAAAAGUUACUGCAAGAAGUUUUCAUACACUUGCUGCCAUGUUACCUUGUCGGCAAGAAGCAGAGGAGAUAGUUUCCUUAUUAUUUGCCAUGUAAGAAACUAAGAGCAGAGGGCACGAUGAGAGGCAGACUGUCCAGGCAAACCUGCUGUUUUGAGUGGAACACACAAAAACAAACCAAAACAGUCUUCCUCAGUCAGUUAUUAAAACAGUAAAUUGGCAAUGAAUGUACUCUAUUGAGAGCGAAAGAAAGUUACAUCCUACAGGCCUGUCUGUAACGAAGUUGAUUGGCCCCAUUCAAGAUAUCCACGUGGUUUGGCAUUGGCAAUGUCUGUCAGCAGUAUUCAAGUUCACCCAUCGCUAGACACUUUUCAGAAAAUUCCCCGCAGAGCAAGGAAAAGAUACCUUAACUUGUUUCCAUAUACUUGCAGCCAUGUUCCUUAGUCAGCAAGCCAUCCCUCAAACUACGAUGUAAGAAGCAGAGAAAAUAACCCACAUAUGUAAUCGACCUGCGAUGAUAGUCUGAGUACCCAGCUCACCACACAUAUUCAUCACUAUUGAUUCAAACUGCCCAUCACCAUGAUCAUAUACCAUCCACUUCCACCUGUGCAUCUUCUUUAAGAACUACGGUAAAUAAGCCAUUACAUUACAUUAUCUCUCUCUCUCUCUCAAAGCACAUACAUUACACCCCAGGAAAGAACAUUGUUUUCUUUAGUUCCAUUUUGAGGAAGAGGCCCAAGAUAUUUGUGUAUAACGUCUGAAUUGCAUAUAGUACACAGUUAAGUUAUUGCUUUUAACAUCUAUUUAAUUCAAGAACAUCCUCACACCCCUUGAUCAUCUGUAUGAAUUUCACCUGUUGAUAUAUAUUAGGCACCAGAAGCACCAAUGAUGAGUCCAUGUACCAGUUAGAUACAGAGACUUAUUACAGAACCUAGGUAUCCAAUAAACAAACUUCACCUUCCACCCUUCCAAAAGCCUCGUAAUGAAGCAAGAGAGAGCAUCUCCCUGACUUAAAACAACUUCAUUAAUGGGACAUGGAACUCAAUGAGAUGAUGUGUGGAAGAAAACUUGCCGUCGAUCUGGUUUACUCUGCAUCACAUUUCAGCUGAAAAGGCAGACAGAUCUCACACACAAUGGAGAGUCCGACUGGAAGAAGAAGGAGAAGUAGUUCCAUUCGUCACAAGAUACUUAACCCACAACUCCAUCGUCCCUACAUUUGCAGAAAAACCCCUUUCGACCAUUUCUCCAACAAGUUGUGCUGCUCUCAUAUUUUCUUUAUUUCUUAGAAGCCCUUGGAUGAUGGUGUUAUAAGUGACACCAUCUGGAAUGCAUCCAUUUCCUUCCAUCUCCUUUAGCAGCUCAUAUGCUUCCUCCAUGCAUCCUCCUUUGCACAAUCCAUGCGUGACAAUAUUAUAUGUCUGCACAUCAGGUUGCAAGCCUCGAGCAUUCAAACAAUCAAACAACCCCUUAGCAUCGUCGAGCUUUCCAGCAUUACACAUGCCAUUCAUUAUAAUAUUGUAAGUCACAAUGUUUGGGACGAAUUUGGAACCUUCCAUCUUUCGAAGCAAUAUCAUGGCCUUGUCAAUCUGUUGCGUUUUACACAGGCCAUCCAGGAAAGAAUUCAAGGUAUAAUGAUCUAGAUACAGAUCGCGAGAUCGCAUCUCGUUAAUUAGCUCCCCCGCGGCUUCAAGGUUCCCAACCUGGCAAUAUCCAUUUAUGAGAGUGUUGUACGUGAUGACAUCAGGAUUCAAGCCCCUUUGAAGCAUUUCUUGGAAAAGCAUCUUUGACUUGUCAACUCUUUUCCCUUUGCAGUAUCCAUUAAUCAAUGUGUUAUAAGAAACGACAUUAGGUGAGCAGCCUCUUUCAACCAUCAAAUUAAGAACCGCCAUAGCAUCAUCCAUCCUAUUUUGCAAACAAUAACCAUUCAUCAAUGUACUAUAAGUGAAACUAUCAGGCAUUUUACCUAAUUGAAUCAUCUGGUUGAUUAUGGCCUCUGCUUCUACAAACAUUCCCUCUUUACAAUGUGCAUCCACCAGAAUAUUGAAGGUUUGAACAUUGGGCAUGACUCUGCUUUGCACCAUAUGACUCAGCAGUCUUUGGGCCUCUUUCAAUUGGCCGGAAUUGCACACUCCUUGAAUGACAGAGGUAUAAGUAACGACGUUCGGUUCAAUUCCUGACUUCAUCAUCUUCUCCAACAAGACUGUAGCAUCUUUCCAUUGGCCUAGCUUGCACAAGUAAUGAACCAAGGAGCUAUAAGUGAAUAUGUCGGGUUGGAUGCCUCCGCUUGUCAUCUCUUUCAACAAUAUGAGAGCAUCUUCCAUCUGACCUACAUCGCACAGACCAUGGAUCAAGGUGUUAUAAGUAACGACAUUUGGUUCGACGCCUUUCUUGCUCAUAAUGCCGUGGAGUCUCAACGCCUCUAUGAUGAAUCCCUUCUUGCAAAGACUAAAUAUUAUUAUGCUGUAUGCGAAGGAAUUGAUGCUGCAGCUUCUCUCUUCCCAGUCCCUUAGCAAUUCGAUCGCCAAUCUGGUGUUACCCAUCCUGCAUAACCCCUUGGCGAUUAUGGCAUACGUGGUCUCAUCAGGUUCGGGGCCAUUUCGUCCCAUAUCAUCGAGGAACCUCAAGGCUUGAUCAGUUUUGCCCUGAAUAAAGAGACCAUCAAUCAGGGUGUUCCACGUCACCA